rnacentral:lncRNA from 1 species
AAAUCUGUGUCUAGCUGAUCAAAUAGCUUCGACGACUCAUUGUUAUCGUAUACAUAUAUACAUACUGGGGAUCAAUAGGUAUAUAUAUAUAUAUAUAUAUAUAUAUAUAUAUAUAUAUAUCAACAUGUGAUUAAAUACAAUGACUAUCCAAGUGGGGACACUUGUAUAACUAUAUAUAGAAAUUAACGAAUAGAAUAUAUAUAACUGAAUUACAAUAUAGUACCAUGUUGAUAAUCAAUGAUCGGAUAUAACAUAUAUAAUAAUAGGGUUAAUAAUCUUGUAUAAUAAUAAUAAUAUAAUUCUGAAACUUCUUACUCAUGUCCAUUGCAUAAAGAAAAUGCAAAGGUAGGAUACUUGCCUGAUACGCUACUUACAAUUCGCAAUUUAGAUUUAUCUUUUAUGUAAUCACCUAUCAGUAAUAAGAUUAUUUUACUGAUUAGAAUAACAUAUCACAACACAUAAUACUGCAUAUUGCAGUCAGCACAUAACCUAAUCACCUUGUCACACAUAUCUCACAGUCAUUGAAUCACAACCAAUCAUUAAUACAGUCAAAAUAUCUAAGUCCAGAUCAAUUUCUGAAAUAUGUCGGUGUACCGACAGUUUCAUCGGGUAAUAAUCGAGUCUAAGACUCUAUCCAGUUAGUUCAAUAACUGUAAUUAUCAAUCAUAUUAUUUUUAAAUGACUUAAAAUAAUUUUUAAACACUUAUUAUAAUUUAUCAUAAAUUUUCAAACACCAGAAUCAUAAUUAAAUGAUUUAAAUAUUAAACAAUUCUAUUAUCAUUAACAUUUAAUCAAUAUUAAACUAUUAAUGAAACCAUUGCCAAAAUAUUAAAGUUAUUUAUAAUAACUUCAAAUAUUUUAAAAGUAUUAAUAUUACCAUUAAAUGAUUUUUAAAAUAUUUUAAAUCAUUUUAAAUAAUUACUAUUAAUAUUUAAGAAUUAAUGUACUAUUUAUCCAAAUAUUAAAAGUCAUUAAUUAUAACUUAAAAUAUUUUUAAUUCAUUUAUAUCCUUUUUAAAUGAUUUUUAAAGUAUUAAAACCAUUUUAAAACUAUUUAUUUCAUAUAAUUAUUAAAUAAAUUUAAUAUCAUUAAUGUUAAAUAAAUAUCAUUAAGAUUAAAUUAUUAAUGCAAUUAUCCUUUAAAUAUUAAAAUUUAUAUUUUAUAACUUAAAAUAUCUUUAAACACUUUAUUUUCAUUUAAAAUGAGUUUUAUAAUAAUAAAAUCAUUUUUAAACUAAAUUAUUUAAUAAAAUUAUUAAAUAACUUUAAUAUCUUUAAUAAUAAUUAAUUAAUGAAUUUUACCUUUAAAUAUUGAAAGUUAUAUUUUAUAACUUAAAAUAUUUUUAAAUACCUUAUUAUUAUUUAAAAUGAUUUUUAAUAUAAUAAAAUUAUUUUUAAUUUAUUCAUUUAAUUCAUUUAUUAAAUAACUAAAUCAUCAUUAAUAUUAAUCUAUUAAUGAAAUUUAUCACUAAAUAUUAAAAGUCAUUAAAAUAACUUAAAAUAUUUUUCUUAUACCAUUAUAUAAUUUUAAAUGAUUUUUCAAGCACUAAAAUCAUUUUUAAAUAAUUUAUUUAAUAUAAUAAUUAAAUAAAUUAAAUACCUUUAAUAUUUCAAAAAUAUUAAUUAAUUAUGAAAUAUAUUAAAAAUAAUUAAAAACUAUUUUUCAGACCUUAAAAUAAUUUUUAAUAAUUUAUUUGGCAUUUUUAAUAAUUAAAACUAAUUUUUUUUUCUAUUUAUUUAAUUAAAAUAGUUAAUUUAGAAAUAAAUCUGUCGCUAAAGGUACAAUAGGUGACAAAACUGUCGCUAAUGGUGUUCUUCAUCAAACCCAGAAAACUAAUGUCAGAUUUUGAGUGGGGUACUUUGACUAAGAUUUCAGAUCAGAUCGUGGUGUUGCUGGACUAUCUAAUGAUCAUAGUAUGUAGAACUAAUGUAAUACUACAAGAUACAACAAUAAUCAUGGUCAUAACAUGCAUCAAAUAAAAGAUCUAAGCCAACGAAAAAACUGUCAGAGUUGUUCUUCAUUUCUGGGUUUGUCCAGAAAUGAAGAAUAGUUCGACUGUUCACUUUUGAGCUCUUACAACUUGAAAUCCUUUUGAUGUUUUUGUGAUCUAUAAACUUCAGUGUGUAACCAGAAUACAAGUGUAGAGAUCUAUCACAAAACAUCACCAUAACAUCAAUAAAUCAAAAAGAUAAAAGCCGGUCAACCACUGUCAGAAAUAAGCUUCUAUCCGUUUCUGGAAAUUCCCAGAAAUGCUUAGUCAGUGCGAGUGGCCUACUUUGACCACUUGCUACGAUCUACCUAUUAUUUAUUUACACGAUCUAAAGCCAUGGAAUCAUAGAACACAUAACAGGGUACAAAUUUAAUACAACAAAUAACUAAAACAACAUCAAAACUGACAGAUCAAUGCCAUGGAAAAACUUGUCAGAUGCUGUUCUUGGCUUUCUGGGCUGCCCAGAAAAGGCCCGGUCAAUGCCGGUCAACGACUUUUAACCGUUAAUAACUACCAAUCUAGAUAUCAAAUGACCCUAAUUCCUUUUUCAGAUUAAACACCACAUUACACGCUACAAAUAACAACUUAAAAACAACUAAAAACAUAAUCGAGCAAGGAUCUGUGGCCACUGACAUUCGUUGUCAGACCACAAAACCAACUUUUUCCAGAUUUUUCAAAAACUCAAUUUUGAGCACUUUGAUGUUAUGGAUCUAACAAACACCAAUCCAGAUCAACUAUAUGGACUACAAAUAACAUGUUUUAACAAUAAAUCACAACAUCUAACAUCAAAUCACAUGAUUUUUAAAUUAGGGUUUUUGUACCUUUUCUAAGCUUUAAUUUUGAUUCUGUUCUUCUGAUAUAAUAUUGGUGUUCGCGGGGCUUGAUUGGGGACUGAUCUAACACCAGAAUUUCGUGGGUUUGAGCUUGAGAGAAUAUGGUUAAGUGCUUGUGAAUAAUUUAGGCCAAAUGUACACUUCCUCUCUCUUGAAUCUAUAUAAAAGUUGUAUACAAGGCCCUUGGCUGAUGCUUGAACUUGUUGUACUGGAAUUGCUAGCUGAUAGCUUGGUGGGGUAGGGUGGCUGCCAAGAUAUGCAAGGAUUUGGCUAGCAAUAUUUCACAAAUGGGACAAAAAGGGCACUUUGGUAAUUUUGCUUUAAUUUCAAGGGUAUUCUUGUCCAAGGUACUUGAAUCUAGGGUUUAUUCACUAGAUUUUAAAUCUUAAAGUUUUCCAAAUAAUUUCUAGGGUUUGAAAAAUUAAAAUUAAAGUGUAAUAAAAUUUUAAAUAAACACACUAAUUUAAAAUUAGGGUUUUUAAUAGAAAAUUAGGGUUUAAAUAUUAGGGUUCCUUAAUCUUAUUAGGGUUCUCAAAAUUAACAAUUAGGGUUUCUUAAUUAUCAUUAUAAUUUAUAAAAAUAAUCAUUAGGGUUUCUAAUUUUUAGCAAUUAGGGUUUAAAUAAUAAUUAGGGAUUCUCCUAAUUACAGAAAUUCUAUAAUACACAGUAAAAUUCAUAUAACACAAUUACUACUCAGUUUUGAACUCACAACUGAGUUUAACAAUUAGGGUUUAACAACAUGAUAUAAGGGUUAUGACAUAAUUUACCAUAAUUGACCAAUCAUUAUCAGUCUACACAUAUACAGUACAUAUUUAUAGCACUGAAAAUCAAAAUAUAAUUAAUAUUAUAUUAUUAUUCUCAUCCCUUGAUAAAAAUCAAAAUUUAGGGUUUGGAUUCCAUAUCUGAUUUAUCUUUCGUAUACAACAUCAAUAAUUAAGCUAAAAUAAUUAACUUAAAUAUUAUGAACAAAUUCAUAUAAUAAAAUAUUUAUUAUUAUAAUUCUAAUAAUCAUUUCAUAUAUUAUUUAAAUCAUGUUUUCAUGGAAAAUAAUUAAUAAAAACAUUUUUGCUAUAAAAAUUAAUUACUAUAAAAAUAUAAUUUGUAAUGAUCAAUAAUUCUAAAAUUAUUUAUAAUUUUUCAGGUAAUAAAUAUAUUUGCAUUUAUCAUACACAUUACUUGACACUUAUUCUCAUCAUUAAAAUAAAAAAAAAAUUAUAUGCAAAUUUUUUUAUUUAUUUAUAUAGAAAAUAUCGGGUUAUUACAUUCACCCUCCCUUAUAAGGAUUCCGUCCCCGGAAUCACCGUUUUAAAACCUAUACAUACAAGGGUACAUAGUAUAUACAAUCAUUGCAAGUAGAUCUCGAUCAUAUUUGAUCGAACUGAUCUUUAACUAUUCGACAUAAAGCUUAUCUAUCUGAUUCAGCAGAAAUUUGAUUUCUAAAAGAACUCAAAUACCUCCUUCAAAAUUUCUUUAUAAAAAUAAUUUACUAUAUAUAUGAAAAUCAUGCAUAUAAAAAUAAAAGUUAUACGAAUAGUACCUGGAGUUCCAUCGCCAGCUGCCACCGUAUCCUGGAUCGUCUUGUUGAAGACCCUUGCGAUUUGUUCUGUUGGUUUAUUUGUUGAAGUUGUCCCGUUGUCGCCAAUGUCCUAUUGCCUUUUCCCGUAUUCGCAUUCCUUGCCUCCCUUCCCCUUCUUGGACAGUCUUUCACCUUAUGCUUCAUUGAUUGACAAAUAAAACAUCCACUAUACAUUCUCGGAUUGGGGCAGUUGGGAGAGAUGUCCCUUCUGCCCAAACUUAUAACACACAAACUUACCUUUAAGACACUCUCCCGAGUGAUUCUUCCCGCAAUUUAUACACUGCAUAGCCUAUUUCUUUCCACCUCCUAGCCUAAUUUUGGUAUUACCGAAAUUAUCUCCUUUCUUAUCUCAUUUCCUUUUUCCAGUCUUACUACCACUACUCCCUUCUCCAGCUUUAGCUUGAUUUGCUUCCCACCAAAAAUUCGUCUCCCCUUUCAUCGUAUAGGUGGCAAAAGUUGUCUUUUGCCCCUUCGUUACCCCAACUAUCACAAAUGCUUCUACAGGGUCAGUUGAUCAUCUAAAUCCUGGCGUUCCGACUGCCUUGAAGUCUUUGAAGUUCGCUAAUCGAUUAUUUAGUUGAUUUCCCACAGCUAGUAUUCCAUUCUGCAUAUCUUGAGCGACCAUAUUCAUAAAAUUUUGUAUCGGGUCUGGUUGUCUUCCAGCUUUAUCGACAGGUUCUUCUGUCCGUUGAUUUCAUUUUCGUCUUGGCGACAUUAUCUGAUUAAUCAUAAUUUAUCUUUCAUGAACUUACCUUUUAUGUCUUAGGGUAUACACAUAACACGAAAUUUUCUACUCAAAUAAUCAUGUAAUCAAAAUAUUAGAUUUUGAAAACUUUGGUUUUCCGUAUUAACCAAUGUUCAGAUAAAUAAUUACUAUCUUUAUACCAACUUAUUUCAUUAAUUCAACAUAGAUUCAUAUUCAUGACACUUUACAUACCAUAGCACAUAUUGCUUUAAACAUCUGCUAUCCUUUUGUGACUCAAAAGUCGGGAAUCGCUGCCAUAACUUAUACAAAAGUUAAGAAUAUUAUAUUACACUGACAUACUUAUCGUAUACGCGUUAUAAAAUCAUACAUAUUCAAAUAACACUAAUACUACUUAUUUCUUACGCCUUCACUAAGGAUCAAUUGCUUAGCAUUCUAUAUAUUCCUAUUAUCCUCAAUAAGCCAUUCUCACAUAACUAUACCAAGUUCGUCAAACCUUCCACACCUUAUAAGUUCAGGAACUUACCACAAUCAUAUGAGUUUAAGAACUUGUCCUAGUCAGACCUUUAGCGUCCAUUCGCUGAGGGUUUCAAAAAUUUCAUAUAAUUAUGAGUCAUGAACUUACCAUAAGUAUGAGUUUUAAGAACUCGAGCUUAACUUUAUAUUCUAUAAUUAUACUUUACCGAUCAGUUAUACUAUCGUUUCUGGGUCCGAUAUUACAUUUUUCCAGUAUAAUCACCUCACUAGGGUUACUUUCAAGGUGAGCUUCUAUUUCAAUUAUUUACUUUGAUAUUGGCUCAGUUAUGGAGGUUGAAUCCUUCUUUAUGAUCUAAGGGUAUCCUAAUUCUUUUCCAUCUGACAUCUAUACAUAUAAAUUAUCCUGAUUAGCAUAUAGUAUAUACACAUAACAAAUAAUAGUUUUAUAAAAGUUAUCUUUUAUUUUGUUUAACGAUGAAUUUAUUCAAUUCAUCUCCUUUUAAACUCUAUAUGAGUUAUUUGUAUUUUCAACGUUUCCCCCGGUUCUAAGGUUAUAGCCUAAGGUCGAUCCCACCUAAAGUUUCUAACCCUAAAGCUCUGAUACCAACCUGUAAAGCCCCCAAAAUCCGGGUACUUGAAAUUCGAACUCGGUACUUCACGAUACCAUUUCAAUGAGCAUAAUAAUACUAAUAAUAAUAACAAUAAUAUAAAUAUUAAACAUAAUUUACAUAAUUAUCAGAGUCUAGCUCCCAAAUGCGUAACCUUUAAUCAUUCAUUACAAUACAUGAUAAAUAAUAUAUAUCAUUGUCUUAAUAAUAUCAAACUAUUACAUAAUAUAACGUUGCAAUCAUUCAGCCACCUUUCCUUUUCCCUUGAUUUUAGCAGAGCCUUCAGGUUGCUCACACUUAGCUGAAAACAUUUAAAUUAAGCAAGGAUGAGCAUUUGAGUGCCCAGAAAGUAAUAACAAUUAUAAAUAUUAGCUGAAAGGGUUAAAUAUUUUCUUUAUACUACCUUUCUACAACAAGUCAAUAGUUGAAGAGUAAUCUGAACCGAUAAUAAUAACAUAACAACUCUCUAUCAAAUUUUUUUGAAACUACGUAUUGACUAUAAAUAGGUUUAAGGUGACAUAUUAUGUACAUUGUUUUCUAUUUUGGCAAAGGUUAAGCAAAACUUCAUCCGCAAACCGUCAUAACUUAUGGGCACGGAGGGUGAUCAGCCCGUUGUACCCUGUAUUGAUCAAUACUACAUGCAAGAACGAUAUUAUCGUUCACUUUGUCCGCCUUAGCGCAUAAAAUUUUUGCCGUAUCCGGGAUGUUCAUACUUAGUCAGGAAUCCGAACCAAAACAAUUUGAUUGGAUACAAAAAAAGAUUUUAUCAUAUUCAACGAUAUUUCUAAAUUUGUGUCUAGCUGAUCAAAUAGCUUCGAUGUCUCAUUGUUAUCGUAUACAUACUAGGAUCAAAAGGUACCCUUUGGGCCAUCAGCUGUCGGUUGACUGAAGACUCUUCUGGCGUCUUCUUCCUUGACUUGGUCCGUCUCCUGUGGAUGCCGGUGAGGCGCUGUUGAUCAUCUUCUCAGAUGAGUCACCAUCCCCUACUUGCUAUCGGCGAUCUUGAUCAAAAAUAGUUUGAUUUGUUUACUUAAAUGUUUUUUCAAACUUUCAGUUUUUCUUGCUCUACUUUUACAAGUCCCGACCUUCGCCGGAAAACACCCAAGAUCGCCUUAAGUCCUGAUUAGUGCCUGUUUGUAAGUCUCCAGUGUGGGAGCAGUGAAUGGCCAAAGGGGAUCUUUAGAUCUACGGGUAUGAGUUUAAGGCAAGUACGGCUUUCUAAGUAGACCUUCAAGAAAAAGAAUUUUUGUUUAAACAGUUAACAAAGAAGUCUUCUGUUUAGAUCGAUUUCACUGAUAGAUCAGGACCAAUCGAGUGAUCCUUUGUUUCAGAUUUCAGUCUGAUUUGUUUUUAAACAAAAAAUCUUGUACAAAACUUAAGAAAUUUUGAAGAUUUUGACCAAUUUUUCGGUGAAAAAAUUNNNNNNNNNNNNNNNNNNNNNNNNNNNNNNNNNNNNNNNNNNNNNNNNNNNNNNNNNNNNNNNNNNNNNNNNNNNNNNNNNNNNNNNNNNNNNNNNNNNNNNNNNNNNNNNNNNNNNNNNNNNNNNNNNNNNNNNNNNNNNNNNNNNNNNNNNNNNNNNNNNNNNNNNNNNNNNNNNNNNNNNNNNNNNNNNNNNNNNNNNNNNNNNNNNNNNNNNNNNNNNNNNNNNNNNNNNNNNNNNNNNNNNNNNNNNNNNNNNNNNNNNNNNNNNNNNNNNNNNNNNNNNNNNNNNNNNNNNNNNNNNNNNNNNNNNNNNNNNNNNNNNNNNNNNNNNNNNNNNNNNNNNNNNNNNNNNNNNNNNNNNNNNNNNNNNNNNNNNNNNNNNNNNNNNNNNNNNNNNNNNNNNNNNNNNNNNNNNNNNNNNNNNNNNNNNNNNNNNNNNNNNNNNNNNNNNNNNNNNNNNNNNNNNNNNNNNNNNNNNNNNNNNNNNNNNNNNNNNNNNNNNNNNNNNNNNNNNNNNNNNNNNNNNNNNNNNNNNNNNNNNNNNNNNNNNNNNNNNNNNNNNNNNNNNNNNNNNNNNNNNNNNNNNNNNNNNNNNNNNNNNNNNNNNNNNNNNNNNNNNNNNNNNNNNNNNNNNNNNNNNNNNNNNNNNNNNNNNNNNNNNNNNNNNNNNNNNNNNNNNNNNNNNNNNNNNNNNNNNNNNNNNNNNNNNNNNNNNNNNNNNNNNNNNNNNNNNNNNNNNNNNNNNNNNNNNNNNNNNNNNNNNNNNNNNNNNNNNNNNNNNNNNNNNNNNNNNNNNNNNNNNNNNNNNNNNNNNNNNNNNNNNNNNNNNNNNNNNNNNNNNNNNNNNNNNNNNNNNNNNNNNNNNNNNNNNNNNNNNNNNNNNNNNNNNNNNNNNNNNNNNNNNNNNNNNNNNNNNNNNNNNNNNNNNNNNNNNNNNNNNNNNNNNNNNNNNNNNNNNNNNNNNNNNNNNNNNNNNNNNNNNNNNNNNNNNNNNNNNNNNNNNNNNNNNNNNNNNNNNNNNNNNNNNNNNNNNNNNNNNNNNNNNNNNNNNNNNNNNNNNNNNNNNNNNNNNNNNNNNNNNGGUAAAUGUAAGAAACAUUUAACUAAGUUAAAAACAUUUAACUUAAGUAAAAGCAAAAGUUAUUCUUUUACUUUUACUUUUACAUUUACUAAAGUAAAAGACUUUUGCUUUACGGAAAGCAAAAGCUUGUCUGAUGGCUUUGGGCCAUCAGCUGUCGGUUGACUGAAGACUCUUCUGGCGUCUUCUUCCUUGACUUGGUCCGUCUCCUGUGGAUGCCAGUGAGGCGCUGUUGAUCAUCUUCUCAGAUGAGUCACCAUCCCCUACUAUUCCGCCUCAAAUUUUUUAUAUAUAUAUAUAUAUAUAUAUAUAUAUAUAUAUCAACAUGUGAUUAAAUACAAUGACUAUCCUAGCGGGGACACUUGUACAACCAUAUAUAGAAAUUAACGAAGAUAAUAUAUAUAACAGAAUUACAAUAUAGUACCAUGUUGAUAAUCAAUGAUCGGAUAGAACAUAUAUAACAAUAGGGUUAAUAAUAUGGUAAUUAAUAAUAAUAUAAUUCUGAAACUUCUUACUCAUGUCCAUUGCAUAAAGAAAAUGAAAAGGUAGGAUACUUGCCUAGUACGCUGCUUACAAUUCGCAAUUUAGAUUUAUCUUUUAUGUAAUCACCUAUCAGUAAUAAGAUCAUUUUACUAAUUAGAAUAACAUAUCACAACACAUAAUACUGCAUAUUGCAGUCAGCACAUAACCUAAUCACCUUGUCACACAUAUCCCACAGUCAUUGAAUCACAAACAUUGAAUCACAAACAAUCAUUACAGUCAAAAUAUCUAAGUCCAGAUCAAUUUCUGAAACAUGUCGGUGUACCAACAGUUUCAUUAGGUAAUAAUCGAGUCUAAGACUCUAUCCAGUUAGUUCAAUAACUGUAAUUAUCAGUCAUAUUAUUUUUAAAUGACUUAAAAUAAUUUUUAAACACUUAUUAUAAUUUAUCAUAAAUUUUCAAACACCGGAAUCAUAAUUAAAUAAUUUAAAUAUUAAAUAAUUCUAUUAUCAUUAACAUUUAAUCAAUAUUAAACUAUUAAUGAAACCAUUGCCAAAAUAUUAAAGUUAUUUAUAAUAACUUCAAAUAUUUUUAAAGUAUUAAUAUUACCCUUAAAUGAUUUUUAAAACAUUUAAAUUCAUUUUAAAUAAUUACCAUUAAUAUUUAAGUAUUAAUGUACUAUUUAUCCAAAUAUUAAAAGUCAUUAAUUAUAACUUAAAAUAUUUUUAAUUCAUUUAUAUCAUUUUUAAAUUAUUAAAACCAUUUUAAAACUAUUUAUUUAAUAUAAUUAUUAAAUAAAUUUAAUAUCAUUAAUGUUAAAUAAAUAUCAUUAAGAUUAAAUUAUUAAUGAAAUUAUCCUUUAAAUAUUAAAAGUUAUAUUUUAUAACUUAAAAUAUCUUUAAACACUUUAUUUUNNNNNNNNNNNNNNNNNNNNNNNNNNNNNNNNNNNNNNNNNNNNNNNNNNNNNNNNNNNNNNNNNNNNNNNNNNNNNNNNNNNNNNNNNNNNNNNNNNNNNNNNNNNNNNNNNNNNNNNNNNNNNNNNNNNNNNNNNNNNNNNNNNNNNNNNNNNNNNNNNNNNNNNNNNNNNNNNNNNNNNNNNNNNNNNNNNNNNNNNNNNNNNNNNNNNNNNNNNNNNNNNNNNNNNNNNNNNNNNNNNNNNNNNNNNNNNNNNNNNNNNNNNNNNNNNNNNNNNNNNNNNNNNNNNNNNNNNNNNNNNNNNNNNNNNNNNNNNNNNNNNNNNNNNNNNNNNNNNNNNNNNNNNNNNNNNNNNNNNNNNNNNNNNNNNNNNNNNNNNNNNNNNNNNNNNNNNNNNNNNNNNNNNNNNNNNNNNNNNNNNNNNNNNNNNNNNNNNNNNNNNNNNNNNNNNNNNNNNNNNNNNNNNNNNNNNNNNNNNNNNNNNNNNNNNNNNNNNNNNNNNNNNNNNNNNNNNNNNNNNNNNNNNNNNNNNNNNNNNNNNNNNNNNNNNNNNNNNNNNNNNNNNNNNNNNNNNNNNNNAAAAUGGUCAUUUGUAGGACUGUUGUGUUUUCGGGGACAAUCGGAGGGCGUCGGGCAUGCACGUAUGUAAGUGUAGUGCUCUUGACGAUAAAAGAUGUUGUUCUAAGUUAUAGAACAUGAAUAUUAUGAAAUAUAAUAAUGCUUAACAUUAAUAAAUGAUGUAUUAGAUAAGUUGUAUAAGCAUACUAAGCACACAUAAGAGAGACGAAUCGAGCGUGUGACGAAUGAACGUCGAAACACCGUGCCAAGUGUAAAUAAACUUGAAAAGUGUUUCAAUUCAAUUGAAAUGAAUAUUAUAAGAUAUGUAAUGGAUUUAAUAUAAAACCAAUAAGUAGUCCUAGCAAGACUUAAGCACUUGAAUGGACUUCGAAUAUGAAAUAUAGUGAGUUAUAAGUCUAAAGUUAACACAAUCAAAUUGAACAUUGUGUAUUGAUUAAUAGGAAGGGUUAUAGGAUGUAAAUUAAAGUUUACAUUACAACUACUAUGCGUUGCUAUGUGACUAAUAGUUGAUGUGAAUGAUUAUAUAAUUGUGUAGGGCACGUGAAGUGCAGAUAUCUGUAAGCUGUUAAACUGUUAUUGGUAAACAACGAUCAAAGCAAGUCUUUCAGUUCCUAUUUGCUAUGUGAAUUUGAUUGUUUUAAAUCUUUAUUACAAAGAACAUGAUGUGUUAUAUAUAUAUUGAAUGUAUGAAAUGUUAAAGUCAAUUUAUGACUACGUUGUUUGACUAAAACAUGCUGAUUGAGUAAGGAACUCAAUCUUUAUAAUUAUUAUAUGAAUUGUAACAUGUAUGUUAUGUUAGUCCGAUGUUUAUGAAAUAUAUGUUGAGCAUGUUAUUAUGUGCUACGUAAUGCAUGAAAACUGUUAGAUUUUGCUGGGCUGUCGAGCUCAACCUUGCAAAUAACCACUUUUGCAGGUUAAAGAUUUAAGGUAAGGAUAUGCUACGUGAAUUAUAGAGAUCCAUGUUCACGGAGAUUGCUUAUGUUUUAUGAGAAAUGUAUUUAAUAUUUUGAAUGUAACAUGUUGUUGAAUUGUAAGUUGAGUUAUUCGGUGUAUAGGGAUACCUAUUUAUGAUGUAAGACUUUGUAUAGUCAUUUUGUUGUAACGAUUCAUGAUAUAAAUUUGAAUCGAAGAGAUGUAAUGUAAAGGUUGCGAUUUAGGGCAAUAAAGAAGGAAAUGUAUAAAAGUUUUAAUUAUUCUGCAAAUUUCAAUUACCGUUUAAUGAUGUAAAAUUAGAGGUUGAUUGUAUUAUUAACGACCAAAGUCGAGAAUUAAAUUGUAUGAAUUUUGGGGUCGUUACAGUUGGUAUCAAAGCCGUAGGUUAUAAACCUUAGGUUGGAGUACCGUAGGCUAUAACCUUAGAGAAGGAAGAUGAAGAUAAUGAAAGAAUAAGCUCAAAUAGAGUUGGAACAAUAAGAAGUAAUUUAAAAAAUUUAUAAAGAAGGGAUUAAAACAUGCGUGAAAGGAUUCAAAGAAGAAUCUCGUAGAGUUAUAAGGAAUAUGAAUGUGGGGUUACCCAACUCCAAUAAUAAAGAUGUAAGGUGAUAAUAAAUAGAUAAUGUCUAUAAGAAAAGAAUGGUAAAGAAGUUAAGAAUAAAAGUUAUAUUUAUGUAUGGUACAAUUGUACUCUUUAAUAGUUGAUGUAUGGUAUCUGGGCUAAACGAUUCCUUCAUAGAGCGGAGGUAUAUAUGAACUAGCAACUCGGAACCUAGUUUGUUGGUUGUUUGUGGAAAACCACUCAGGGUACCGUAUUGAAACUGUUAGAGACUCGAUAUGUACCAAGUAUAGAAAGUGGAUACGUAUGAUGAAAAUGGGGAACUCGAAUGAAAUGUUGAGUAAUGUAAUUGAAGUUAGAAAUUCUUAAAGGAAGAAUUGUUAUAUAAACACGAAAAUUCAAAGAAGAAUCUUAAAGAGAUAUAAAGAUAAGAAAUGGGAGUUAUCCUAACUCCAAUAGCCAAGAUAACGAAUAAUGAUGAAUACACAAAGUCUGGAAGAUUAAAAGCAUAAACAAAAUCGUAAAUGAUGAAAAAGAGAAAGAAAGAGGAUCGUAAAACAAAAUGAUCACGAGUUAAGAAAAGAAUUUUAAGGGAGAUGAUUAUAGAAUAAGAUCACGACGUGAUCAUUUUAAGUUAUAAAGGAAAGAUGGUCUGUAAUAUUUGAAUAAUUAUAGCUUGAUGCUAUGAAGAUAAUGUACUAUGAAAUAGUACGAGAUAACUCACGAGGAGUUAUAGAUGAUGUGAUACGAGAAAUUUGUAUUGAGCAAGUUAAGGGUAAGUUGUUAAGAGUAAGAUAGAGUUAGGUGGGAUUUCAUUUGAGGACUCAUGUGAUGGCUGAGUUGUACAAACCUUUGUAUGGGCGAGGGUUUUGUGCUUGCACUCAGUUUAUUACAUUGAUAAUCAUUGGAAUGUUGGUGUUGCGCUAUCAAUGUAUAUGUGGCGAAAAGGUGAUUCCUUUCUCAUGUGUAUAUUUGAUAGUUAAAACUAUUAAGAUUACUCAGAUAUUAUUAGGAUUAGGUGCGGUUCUUAAAACUAAUGCAUAUGGUAAGUUCGUGACUCAUAAUAAUAUGGUAUGGUUUGAACCCCUCAGCGAAUGGAUGCCUAUGGUCUGACUAGGAUAAGUUCUUAAACUCAUAUUAUUGUGGCAAGUUCCUGAACUUCCAAUGUGCGGUAAGUUUGAUGAACUAUUUUGGGUAGAAAACGGUUAUAGUAUAGAGAGCAUUGAUGAAGUUGAAGAUUGAUAGAAUAGUUAAGUAAUGAAGUAAUGAAGUAAAGAUUGAAGUUAAUGGAUACCUGGAUAUUCUAAAUCUACUAGCUUUACUAGAUUUUCGAAAUUUAUUGACUUCGUGCCGAUGGUUAUAUUUUUGAUUUUUGAAAAAUGUUGGGUCACACUAGUGAACUAAAGAAUUUUGAAAACAGUGCUCUUAUUCGCAUAUCUAUGCUGUUUGUUUCGGCUAAAAAAAAUGAUUUUUUUAAAAUUUUCAAAAUAUAUUUUAAUUAUAUAUAUCGGGUGAUAUGAUAAACGAUGAAGUCAUCAAUGCAAUGGAACCUGGUGUUGGAUGUGAUCAUAUGAUCGUCAGCCCACUAUGGUGAGAUGUAGUAUGACAACGUCAUAAUCAUGACNNNNNNNNNNNNNNNNNNNNNNNNNNNNNNNNNNNNNNNNNNNNNNNNNNNNNNNNNNNNNNNNNNNNNNNNNNNNNNNNNNNNNNNNNNNNNNNNNNNNNNNNNNNNNNNNNNNNNNNNNNNNNNNNNNNNNNNNNNNNNNNNNNNNNNNNNNNNNNNNNNNNNNNNNNNNNNNNNNNNNNNNNNNNNNNNNNNNNNNNNNNNNNNNNNNNNNNNNNNNNNNNNNNNNNNNNNNNNNNNNNNNNNNNNNNNNNNNNNNNNNNNNNNNNNNNNNNNNNNNNNNNNNNNNNNNNNNNNNNNNNNNNNNNNNNNNNNNNNNNNNNNNNNNNNNNNNNNNNNNNNNNNNNNNNNNNNNNNNNNNNNNNNNNNNNNNNNNNNNNNNNNNNNNNNNNNNNNNNNNNNNNNNNNNNNNNNNNNNNNNNNNNNNNNNNNNNNNNNNNNNNNNNNNNNGAGGUGAACAACCCUAUAAGGGGACAUGUUUUCGGGGAUAAUGGUUCCGAGCGUAACGCAUAUAGUCGUUACAAAACACUACGUUGCGGCCCAACGUAGUGGUAUAAUAGGAUGGCCACCUAGUGUACGUGUGGAGGGUGUUUUCAGUCUUUGUGAUUGAUAAACACUCUGGUUUGCAGUGUGAAGGAUUGAGUUGAAGCACUAGUAAACCGAGAAUAGAGUUCACGGUCUUGUGACCCCUCAGCAUGAUUUGGAAUCUUUGAAAUUCCUGUUAUUCAUAUCGCUUCCCAAUUAUUGAUCAAUUGUGGAAGAUUCUUAUUAUUCUGAAAGGUGAAAGUGGAAAGGAUGAGAAAAUUAAGCAAAACAUAAUAAUUUCAAGAAAGAAUUGAGACUCCAUAAAGAAGAGAAAUGUGAAACUCUUAGAAGAGGAAGAGGUGAGGAAUAUGAUGAUCUUAGAAAGAUCCUUAGAGAAAGAAUUUGGUUGUAGAACCCAAUGAAUGAAUAAAGUAUUAACGUAAAAUCUAUUUUGAUAGAUUGAAUGAAUAAGAAAUUUCGAGGACGAAAUUCUUAGAAGAAUGGGUGAAUAUAAUAUCCCGAGUGUUUAUGAUAACGAUCCUUAGCAAAGGAAAUGAAUGGGUUGAAGAGUAUAUAUAAUACUCAAAAUAUAAUUGAGUUCAAAUGAAAGUUAUGAAUUAAAACCUAGAAUUUGUUAAAGUAAUGAAUAUAGUAGGAAAUAUAAAAUCUAUAUUAAGGUAAUGUGUUGAAGAUAUUCAACGAUAAAUUUUUGAAAAGAGAUUUGGUGAAAACCGAGUAAAGGAGGUUUCUUUGAUUCCGAGGAUGGAAUCCUUAUAAGGAGGGAAGGAUGUGACAACCCGAAUUUUCACAAGUUAUUAAAAUAAGAAUUAAUAAUUAAAAUUCUUAUUACGAUAUGAUUACUGUAACAAUCAAGAAUUUUAAUUAUAAUUAUAAAUAUUUAUUGAAUUAUAUAAAUAUUUAAUGGAUGUAUUUAUUGUUGAAUAAAUAUUUGUUUGUUGUUGAAUAAAUAUUUGUUUAAUUUGAUUUGAUUUGAUUUGGUUAAUUAUUUGUUUAAUAAAUAAUUAAUGGGUUAAGGAAAUUAAUUGUUUUGAGAUAAUAUUCUAAUGUAAUUUAAUAAUUAAGUUAGAGAGUUUAUAAUGAUUAAAUGAUUUAUUCAAUAAAUUGUUAUUAGAAUUAAUUAAAUUAAGUAUGAAAACUUAAUUAAAUAAAGUGUGAUAAAUAACAAUAAUAUAAAGGAGUUAUUAAAAUAAAUUAAAGGAGUUUAAGUUAGUUUUAUGAAUAAAAUAUAUGUAAAUGAAUUUUCUGAUACAGGAAAUGGAAAAACUAUAAAAGUUCAUGAUCUAAAGGUAAUGAUAUGUCAAACUAAAGAGAGGGGAAUAGCUAAAGCCUCCAAGUCAACAAUAGUGGUUGCCCGAGCCUUUAUAUUUGAGGCUAUCAGGCCUUCAAGGUCUUAUCUUGGGUAGCUGACUCAAUUUCUCAAAAGCCUGGUCUUCAAUUUGUCCAUGGCAACUUGAAGUUCCUAAAAGCUUUACAUAAAGUAAGUCGUUCUCAUGGUGAUGAGAAGUGACUUCCCAACGAAGUACAACAACAUGAUGAUGGGAAAUAAAGAGAUCCAACUUAGCAUGAAAGGAAGACAUGUCCAAGGAGAGUUAGGAGAUGCCACGGGAGACGGAAGGUAAUUCAACCCACCCAAAGUGCUAUCCAUAAUACCCUCCUGAGCAAUCACCAACUCAGAGGAAUCCCCCUUGGGAGGAUGAACAUCAGCAAUAGUCUCAGAAGGAUUCCGCCUUAAAGAAGUAGGAGUCUCAUCAGCAGCCUCAAAACUGUUAUAUGGAGAAGUUGUAGAAAGGCGUAAAGAGAGCGCUGCACAACCCACAGCAGGCCAUCCGAACUUACAUCAGACAAAGAAUCCUUAGCAUCAAGACUGACACAACCAUCAUGUGGUGAAGAAGACUCGAUACCCGCUGCCCCAUUUGCAAUACUCACAAAGAGCUCAAUGGGAACAUCAUCAUCCUCUUCAUCAGCAUUGGUCUUCUCAAUGACUUCUUGAUUCUAAAGAAAAGAGAAAUUUCAAGAGAGGGUAAGAAGGAUUCGAUCGAAGAUUUUCUAAGAUAUCCCAGGAGAACUCCUUUAAGGCUCGCCCUCCUAAGGUUUUCUCCCCUAGAGGUUCCCUCUCCUAGGACUUUCAUUUUCAAGGCUUGCAAAACAUCAAGCCAUGCGAAGUGUUCAGAAAUUGGAAUCAAGACUUCAACACUUAAAAAAUUUUACGCGAUCAUUUCACCAAAGGCGUGACUCAUGCGCAAUGGGACAAAUGCUUACGACUGGUAGAUGGCAUAGACAUCAUCCAGAGUAGAGGUACAUUCCCCCCAAGCAGUGAUGAAUGUGCAUGUAGAGGAACACCCUGACCCUGUUGGAUACAAAUGUUUCUGCAUAGCUGGAUGCUAGAAGGAUGUCAGCCAUUUCUUUGGUAUAUCCACAUAAUCAACAUUUCCAAGUAUCUCGCCGAUCCAAUGCUGCUAUUCCUGAAGGAAGCUAGAUGAAUUAGACGAGAAGUUAUCCCAACUUCCACAAGCCGCUGCAUAAAGAAACAAGCCUUCCUUUUCUAGUGGAGGAAAAGUUGUACGGUCAUAAGUCUGAACUUACUCCCAAAAGACGUCGAAAAGACCAAAGAGGGGAGCCUUUCCCCAAUCACUGAGGAAUGGGACCUCCUUGGUGGUUUUUGGGUCUGCAUAAUUUUCAAAGGAGAGGGCCUGCAAGCAAGCAAGAAGAAUUCAGAAUAAGGGCUCUAAAGAGCAAAGAAAGGAUGACAAGGAAAGUAUCUGAACUCGAAGUGCUUACCAUGGUAAAGAAUAAAGUUUGAGAUUUAAGCUUAAAAACACCUAAAAAGAAGAAAAAAUAAUGUCAAAAAGAGUUAGGAAUCACAAUCAUGCAAGAAAAAAAUUUCCCGAAAUUUUUCGAAAAACUUCAGACAGCCCAAAAGCAUCCUUCGAAGCCUUUUUAGGACUUAUAAUGGUAUAUGUCAUGGCAAAAGGUGAUUAGUUUUGUAGGGCCCAUCGCUAACUUCAUUUUGAUAUAUUAUGGGCCCCGAAACUCCAAACGAGUCAAAAGUUAUGAUCAAAAUAGUAACAGCUCCUCCAGAACUUCAUUUUUUUCGUCUAAAUGUUGAUUCUCCCCUAGGGUUCGUUGUGACUCCCCCAAAUCCGGUUCCUCUAACCUCGGUUCGGUCAUCACGAUAAAAUACAAACAUCCACCUCUAAACAACAUACGAUAACUAAAAUGCGGAAUAUAAUAAAUGUACGUCGUUCAUUCAAAAGGUGUUACUAGUCCCAAGAUACGAUAACCUUAAUAUCAUCUUACAAUCAUACCCUAAAAUAAAUAUUAGGGUUCAUAUUACAUAAUCAUAAUUUAAACUAAGCAUAAGAUAAAUUCUGCUUCUCGCAAUUAUCCUACAUCUUCCCUUUACCCUUGUCCUUUCCUGAGGUUUCGGGCUUAGCUGCAAUAUAAUUCAUGAUAUAGCAAGGAUGAACAACUAGUUUGCUUAACAAUUUUAAAUACAAUAAUAAGGAUAUAUCAUGAUGAAUGGAAAAAUAUCUAGCAAUGGAUUCAAUAAUAUGAAUAUCUGAAGGAUUCAACAAUAUGAAUGUCAUAAGCAAAGAUAAUCAUUGCUUUUAGAAUAACUGCUAGUCAAGUAGACUUUGAACUGUAACACUCCAAUGGAUUCAAUAGCUAAUUGACCCUUUGGUUAUUAGCUACAGAAUAAGUACUUGAGGGGAUCAGCCUCACGUACUCUAUGUAUAUGCAUAACAUUUAAAUCUGCUCUGUUGUAUCUUAUAUUAGAUACCUGGGGUACUCCCCUAUCAUAAGAGGGGUGUUCUUUCAGUCUAAGAAUCCUUACCAUCAAUUGGUUUGGAUAGCUUUUAUAAAACUUCAUAGGCUUGUCUGACCGGACAAAGGUUCAGACUCAAUUUACCACAGUUUAAGAAUUAUUGAACUUUAAAUGAUGUACAAGUGCAAGACUAUACGAGCCUAAGUGCACUAAGUGCGAAUGUCAAUGAUAUCGAUGUGGAAUAACUAUAAAGUAAUUAAACCACUUAGUAGCAUACUUGGAAAUAAGAUUUCAAGCUUAAAUGAAUAACUUUCAAUUCAACAAUAUCCUACUCAAUGCAAUAUGAGAAGGAUAGGAAAACUUUCACAAACUCAAAGUUGUGUAAGUUAGGAAACUUGCAACACAAUAAAUUCGUAUACUUGCUCAAUAUAAUUUAGAGUAAGUUUAGGGAAGCUUGCUUAACAAAAGUAGGGUUCAAGGAACUUGCUUACGAUAUGCGUCGAAUAAAGUAAUGCAAGGGUUUAGGAUACUUGCCUGCUUGCUAUGUUACCAUAUAAUUCUAGCCAUAAUUACUUGCGUUGAAACGACCUAAUAUUAACAAGUUGGUCUUUUCAAUUAGUAUGUGUAAACUAGUACAAGUCUACACUUAAAGAAUCAAAUCAUCACAUAGCAUGCUUUUCAACACAUUACAUGGCCCAUUGGUCAUAUAUUACAAGAUAAAGAGAUCAUGUAAGCAUGCCUUAAAUUUCAGAACCAAAAGCAGAAUCUUGGCAAGACUGCAGGACAGCGCAGCUGCUCCUGGUCUAAGCUUAGGGACGGCGCAGCUGCGCUGUCCCUUGCCCAGACCAGGAUUGAGCUUCUGCACUUCCUGACUUCAGUCCAACUCUAACAUACACCUAUACAUACCUAUUAACAUACAUUCAUGCUAUAGUUUCACAUAUAACACAUGAUCAUACUUGAGUUCAUUACUUCAAGUUUAACUUACACGUUAUAUGUCAUUAAAACACAAAAAGUCAUGUAAUCAUCAUGCUUGUAACUUGGAUAUACAAUACUCAGUAGUCAUGCUUGUAUAUAGACAACACAUGUAUACUUUACUCACAUAGUUCAUAUUUCAGAAAUUUCCUUUUUAUGACUAUGUGUGAAAUAAGUGAAAACCAUACAUUAACCAAACGAUGUUCAUGCCGAUAUAUCUAUAGGUAUAAUGAGUCCUAAUUUACAUGCUUGCAUGGUCAUAACGUACUUUACUAAUUUCUUGAUGACAUUAGCUUCCUCAUUCUAAUUUUCUUUGAAUAUAACACUAAGCCAACUUAGUACAUACAAGGCAUCUUAACAUGUAACUCUCAUAUAUUUACAACAUACAUUAAGGCCUCAUGCAUGUUCAAAUGGUCAGAACUUACUAGAUAAAAGUCUUGGUCAAGUUCUCUUUGAAAAGCCUUAAGUUUCUUAUCUUUGAAAUAGUCUAAUCUUUCAAUCAUGUAUGCUAGUGCAUUCAAUCACUUUAGUAUGUCAAUAUAAACCAUAUUAUCAUGUUCAUAAAGUCAAAAUACUCACAUGAUGUGUUCGUGACAAAGUUCACUUUUGAAAUCACAAACCUCAUUUCAAGACCACAAGUAUUGUGUCCAUCAUUGCUAUACUUGUUCAUAUUACAUGCAUGUGCUUACGUGUGCAUAUUAAAAUAGUUUACAAGCUUGAUCUACCAUGUACUAACAAGUUAGCAUGAAACAGAAACAAAACAGAAAACAUCAGGGCUGGUGCAGGACUGGCGCAGUUGCGCUGCACCCUAGUACAAUUAGGGCGCAGCUGCGCCAUGCCUUAGACAAAACUGAAUUUGGGUUACGGCGCAGCUGCGCUGCACCCUAGUACAAAUAGGGCACAACUGCGUCGUGCCUGCAUCAGAGACAGUAAGCAGACUAUGUUCUGCAGUUUAGCAACCCAUUAUACCAAUUCCUUAUAACAAUUGCUUCUAACAUAAUCCAACACACUUAUAAUUAUGUAUAACACUAAGAAACAUAACUCAAGUCAACUAGCAACCAAUACAUGCUUAAUUCAAAGAAUCAAUCCAUGAAACAAUUUACCAAAAAUUAUGAAUGGGAAUGGAAGUUAUACCUUUGUGACUCAACUCAGCUGCUCUAUACUCACUCUAUAUAAACUAAUUCUCAGCAAAUUGCAACAAGGAAGAUGAAGGUAUUAUUUAUAGGAGAUUGAUUAUUUAGAUAAUGUCAUUACCUCACAAAUCAAACCAUUGGCUUUCAAGAAUGUACAAGGGUUAAGAGAGAGUUGGUGAGAGUUGGUGAUUCCACUCAUGAAUCCCACUCCCCAUCCACUAAUUGCUCUAUGUUUGAUGAAUUUGAGAUGAAGCUAGGCUAGGCUAUGCUUGUUUGCUUGUUCACGUAUAAGAAAGAAAUGGGACUCUUAUUAUGGGACAAGAGAAAUCCUCAGCAUUUUGCAAACAAUGAAAUGCAACAUUUGGCUUAUACUAAAUAUGCACAUAAUACAAACUUUGGUUAUAAAAUAUGUCUACACAAUUUAUUUCAUAUAACAUAGGGUAUAAUAAUUUAAAAGGGCAUACAAUGUAUUUCCCAAUUACAAGGUAUCUAGUAGUGCACAUACGUAUAACAAUAUUAUUAUGCAACUCACAUGAAUGCAAAUAACUCUUACUAUAUAGUCUUUAUAUAUAAUAUAUAGACAUAUUAAUGUAUCACCUUGUACUAUAUAAAAUAUAUAGUUAACUACCAUAUAAUAAAGGUUUACUAUAUUGCACAAAUAAAUCAAGUAAACAUAUAAUCAUUUUAUAAACUAUUAAUCUAUUACACAUUAAUUAUUAUUUAUUCAAAAUAAUUAUUAAUUAACACAUUAUCAAUUAAUUACUCAUAAAUGAAAUUAAUCAAUACGUUCAACUCUUGCUACUAUAUUCAAAUAACUUGAAUAUUUAAUUAAUACUCUUAUCAAGUCUUUGAUAUUAGAAUCUUAGGGUUAGUCCACUAAUUUAAAUCAACUAUUAGUGACUCCCUUUAAUCAUUUCGUAAAUUCACAUAACCACUUAAGGUUUAAAUAAACUCACAAAACUAACUCAUUACAAUUAAAUCACAUAUUUAAUUAAUAAGGAGUUUAAAAUUUGUGGAUUUUACAUUCACCCCCUAGGGUUCGGCCUCCUAGAGUUCAGCCCCUAGGGGUUCGACCAUCUGGGGUGUUUUCGCUGCAUGUAGAGCAUUUUUUCUUCCUUCGUGUUUUUUGUUGAAAAAAUGCCAAAUCUUUCUUUAUUAUCGGAGGGAAAAAACUGAGAUGUAAUGAAGGUAAUGGGGCUCGGAAGACAAAAGAAAGAUUGGAGGGUCCUGAAAAAAAAACCACAUGGGUUUGGCUCCAUAUAGGAUUCGGUCACCUAGGGGUUGUUCCCUUCAUACCCUUGAGGUCCUGUUGCUCCACAAAUCAACUGCUUGGAACGAGUGCUCCUUCGCCGUGAAAAUUAUAGCCUUUCUCUGAUGAAUUCUGAGGGAAAAAAAAACAAGAAAUGAUCAAGGUGAUGGGGCUCGAAAACAAAGAAAGACUACAAUUGCCUAAAAUUAAAAAAAAAGAAAUAGAGGAAGCAAGUUAAGAAAAAUCCUAAAAAAGCAUGCAAGAAAAAAAAGUUGAAUAGACGAGAAGAAGGAAUGAAGCUCCAAGGGCUUGGGUUCCCCAUAGGGUUCGGCCCUAUAGGGUUCUACCCCUAGGGUUCGGCCUUAUAGGAAGGAAUCCUCCUUAUUAACUCUCGCCCGGGUUAAAGAAUGUCUCCUUACUGCUCACUUGAUGAUCUUCCUGGCUCGUAGGAAGAAUGAAAAUUCAAAAUGAAGCAAGACAAAAAGUGAAAACUUGAAUUGCUUAAAAGAUGCAAAUAUAUGAAUACAUGUAUAUGUUUUCAAGUAUGCUUGCACCAGAAGAAGAAGUAGUUACCAUGCUCCUAUUAAGGGAAGGAUUUGAUCUAGUUUCCAAAAGAUAAGUAGAUUUGAUCUUGCUUCUAAAUAGAAAUAUAUAAAUAUUAUUUCCUAAAUAUAGAACAUAUUUGAUUUUUGAUUUUAUUCCCAACAAAGGGAAAUUUUGAAAUAUAUGUUUUAUUUUCCUUCUUAAUGAUAAUAAGGAAUGAUCUUGUCUUCAAAAUCAAAUAAAGAAGGAUUUAAUUUUAUUUCCAAAACAAAAUUAAGAUUUGAUUUUAUAAAAUGGAAAUAUUUAGUUUACCAAAAGAAAGAUUUUAUUGAAUUUUAUUUGGUAAUAUUUGAUGAUCUUCCUUGUUUUAAUUUCUAGAAAAAAAUAAGGAAACAAAUAUUAGGCAAGCUAUGGAAUGAUUUUUAGAAGAUUUUCCAAUAUGUCCAAGGAAGAGCCCUGCUAGGUUUUGCCUCCCUAGGGUUUAACCCUAAGGGUUUGGUUCCUUAGGGGUUCCCUCUUCUAGGAUCCUUGUCUUCAAGACUUGCAAAGUGGAGUCUUGCAAAAUCAUUCAAAAGCUUGAAGUAUUCUCGCAUGAUCGUCUCUUUGGUAAAGCGACUCUCGCGCAGGGGGCAAAUGUGGGCCCAAGUGCAAAUUAAGAUGCAUGUGAACUAAUUGAACUAAAUCCACAAUAAGGGUUCCACGGUCUCAUUAAAUGUACAAAUUAGGGUUCCCGUGACCUAAUUGGAUGAAGACAGAAAAGCCAGAAAUAGAUGUACUAGAACUGAGAGAAGCCUCCACGUAUCCCGAGGCAGAAGGCUCAUGGAGGCGGCCCAUGCUUGGGAAUUGAUUUAGGGAUUGGAUUGGUGGCUAAAAUGACAGGACGAUAUGGGCAUUAUUCUAAUAACCAAAGGGUAUUUUUGGAAUUUUCCUGAAGACAUGUGCCUGACAUGUGACUACUUAAGUUCCAGGAAACUCUAUAAAUACCCCUUCCAUUCUUGGAAGGGGGACUUUUUGGUGACUUAAGACUUGGACAUUCCCUCUUGGAAUCCCUGUUAUCCUAACACGAUUUCUGGAUUCUAGGAGUUCUGCCACGUGUCAUUGGAGUAAUCGUCCACCUGUUCUUCUCCCUUCUUCAAUCAAUCAAUUCUGUGCUCUUCGUGGAUUUCUCUCCUCCUCAGUCAACACAAAACCCUAACUAGCAAGGCACGAUUUCCUUGCCCACAAUAGGUAUAUGUUAAUGUAUCAUUUCUUUCUCAUUCUGAUUUUUGGUUUGUAUAAAUGAAUAAAUUAUUAUGGAUGAUCAUGUUUAAAAUUUUAAUUUAUAAUUAAUUAAUUAAUUACAUCGCCUCUCGAGGGGUGAUAGAUCAAUAAUAGAACAUAAUCCACUAACUUGAUACACUUGACUAUAAGUUCAUUUUCAACUAUUUAUUUGAAUUUAUCAUAGAUUAAUCAAGUAGUUAAUUAAACAAAAUACCAUAUAUGAUUUAGAAUCUGAUUCAUCCAACAUACCUUAAUAUAGUUUAAUGGUUGAUGCAACAUAGGAAAGUUGAAUCAUCAUUGUCAAGAGAGAUUUUCAAAGUCAUUAAUUUAUAGGGAUUUAGAAUUGUUAUGGAAUUCAAAUUUGGGGUAUUGAAUUUUUUCUGAAAUAGAUAUGUUAUUGCUAGAUUGGUAUAUAUAUAGAAACCUAUUUCACAACAAACGUUAGCUAUGAGCACUAUUCUAACACGAUGAUUUGUGGUCGUUCCACUACAACAAAAAGGCUUAUCAGCGACCGCAUAUCAGUGACCGUGUACGAUCGCAGAUGGGUAUCAACGACCGUAUCCGAUCGCUGAUAUUAGUCGCAGGUAAUCUGGUCGCUAGAUGGACAGUAGCGACCACUAAUAGCGACCAACAUAUUAGCGAUCGCCAUCAGCGACUGAAGCAGUCGCUAAUUUGACUCAUGCUGAGUCAUCUGUCAGGUGUGACGUGGCACAUGUGGCAGCGAUCGGUAAUAGCGACCGCAUCGGUUGCUAGUUUCCAAGAACGUAACGCGGUCGCUGAUAUAGUGUUAGCGACCGCAUGCGGUCGCUAAUGUUUUUUUUAAUUUUUUUUUUUUGUAUGUUUUAUUGAUUUCCCAAAAAUAACCCGCUUUGUACCUAUUUUCAAUCCCAACACAGUAGUAUAUACAAGCAUUCAUAUUAACAUCCAUCCACGAUAUAACUACUAUAUGAUAAACAUUGAUCAUCCAUGAAUAAACAUUCAUCCAACACAACAAGUCUAGCUCUUCAUCCAACACAAUACAAUUAUAAACAUUCAUCCAACACAACAAGUCUAGCUCUUCAUCCAACACAAUACAAUUAUAAACAUUCAUCCAACACAAUACAAUCGUAAACAUCCAUAUAAACCAAUAAAAUUGUCCAAAGAAUUAAUCUAAAAGAGUACAAGGCUUUAAAAAUCUAAAAAAACAAGUCUAGAUGCACGCUCUUUAUGGAUCAUCCAAAUUAGGAUCCUGUAAUUAACAAAAUAAUAAAACAUAUAUUUUACAUGUGUUGAUACUGCUACGACUUAGGAAAAGCUAAACAAUAGACAAUGUAGUGAAACAUAUAAGUAAGACAGUGACUCAGAGACUAUAAACAUAUAAGACAAUGUAGCUAAACAAUAAACGAUAUAUAUAUACCUGGUCGUUAUUCUGCUGCUGUGAUGUUGCUCCUGCUGCUGCUGCCGUUUCCGCCACUGCCUUUGCCAACUCAUCAGGACUUAGAGAAUACAGAUGCCCGCCCAGUAUACGAAGAAGAUCAUGAUCCUGACAGAUCGCUCUCACACAGUCAGCAGGAGUAUGAUAAGCAGGAUAACCUGAUGACUGUAUAGACUGGGUGGCAGAGCUGCAUGUGCCACUGAUGGUCGGGUGCCAUUUUUGUCCUUUGCCUUUGACAUAUUUUUUCUUCACGAUGGAUGCCCUCUCCCAUAAUUCUUGAUCAAUCGACGGACGCGGGGUUCCUUCAGGAUAGCACUCAUUCAUUAAGCCCUUAUAGGUGUCUUGUCAGAAGGUGAACAAUUAAAUAAUUAAAAAUAAAUAAAAAAAUACUAAAAAAGGUCGUCACAAUUUAUAAACAACAUAUUAGGAUAAAGUGAACUUAUUACCGCUAUCUGAACAGACUCAGGCAGACCAUCGCGGGUGGCCACAUACACAUCCAACCAAUUGAUAGGUUGACCUUGAGAUUGAGACUCCUAUAGUUCAUUUUCUCAUAUUAUUAUGUAAACAUAUGAUAUUUUAGCUACAAAAGAUGACUGUAAACAUAACAUACGUACCCUGGCAGCAAUGUGCUGCAGCUGUGAUAUAUUGUCGCCCCGAUACGUGCCUUUUGCCUUCUCGCCGUCUGAUACACCUGAGGAUCUGUUCGAGGCGACAAUCUUGCGCCUCUUGACCCAGCUCUCAGCUCUCCACUGGUCAUACAUCUGCACCCAUAUGGGCUGUGCGCACCACCAGGGGCUAUGCUCAUGCAUAUACUUCUCACCCUGUCUUGGAUGGUCAAUCUCAGCAUUGUGCAGGGCUUUUUGUCGUUCCUUGUUCAGAUUAUCUUUAUUUUGGACAGCGCACUUCUGCCAGAAUAGUGUCUGCAUAACUGAUGCUUGUGCGUCGUCCCAUCUAUACCGCUUCUGCAAAUAAAACAACAAUAAUAAUAUUAAAAUUGUUAUAUUACCAUAAUCCAACAUUACUAAACAAUAUUAUUUGAUUAACUAUGUAUUAUAUAUCAGAGUGAUAAAAAAAUAUACCUGAAAUUCAGCCCAAACUGCAUCCUUAUGGGCGAGAGGUGUGCUCGCCCAUGUAAUCACUGGCGUAGGCCAGUUCUGUAAGCAUAAUUAUGAAAUGCACUUCACAAUUUUACUAUCUUGAAAAUCACUACAAUAUACAAUGAUUUACAUUAAAAUAUAUUUAUAACAAUGGAAAUAUUAAACCCAUGUUUAACUUACGUGCUCUCUGGAGGAGGACGGAUCUGUAUAAGAAUGCGAUCAUCCGGAUUAGUCGGGGCCUUCGGCACAUGAUUAGGGCCCCGACCCAACUCGAGCUUUCGUGUUGCAGGUUCAGAAGACAUCUAUAAAUAAAAAAUUUAGGAUGUUAGUAUGAGUUAUAAAUGAAAGGUACAUAAACAUGUCAAGGGUAUAGAGAACAUGUACAUAUGUAAUUGUAUGUGAUACAAUUAAAACUAAACAUACAUUUUAUAGAAAAUUAAAAGACAAUAAUGACAAUUAAUUGUAUGAAAUAGUUAACUAUGAUUACUAUAAAAUGAAAGGUACAUGUGCACUAGGGCAUCCAUAUGCACGACGACAUGCAUAUAUGGCCAUUUGUAGGCAUAUAAGAGCAACAAGAAUGUAUAAGCAAUUAACAUUAACAUAAAUAAUCCAUCAACAACCAUAGACACUUCAUCACUAGCCAAUGUUCAGUUUAUGUUUAAAGGUAGCUGUGAUCUUGGGUACAAGUUAUUUUUCAAAAUGCCCACUAAAACAUGAUGUUUUUUUUAGUUUUAGUAAAGAAAGAGUCCACCAAUUCCAAUUCCAAUUCCCAUUCCCAAUAGUAGCACUUGGUAAAAACGGAUGGUAAGACCAUUUGUUUAUUUUCCCACUUGUAAGCCAAAAUACAGAGUUUAUUGGAAAUCAAUGUAUGGUGCGGCUGCUAUCAAUAUACCAUUGCAAGUUGUUAUUUAAAUUAUAAGCUCUUUAGUUAUUUAAAAAUAUUGGAAUAUGCUUUCUAAUUUUUAUUACCGGCUCCUUUUGAAUGAUUGUAUAAUAAAGAAGAUUCAAAGGAAGUGAGAAAGUAGUUUGUGGCAUGUGAAAAUCCCACGACUUUCUUUCCUCUGCAUUCAAACCCAAUAAAACUCCAACUGGCACACUGCACACUGAUAUAAAUGUGUCCGGAUUCUACAAUGAGUACUCGGUUAAAGAAGAUGGGUAAUAAAAAAUUCCAACAGUUGGUGCAUUGGUUUAAGAUCGUUUUAAAAUGAGUUCUAAAUUUGGAUAUCUUAAAUUUAACUCUUAUCAAUAAUAAUUUAUCAAAAUCCUACUGCGAUCGAGAAACUUCUGUUAUCAAAAAAAGAAAAAAGAAAAAAGAAAAAAAAAGAUUGGUAAUAAUAUACCUAACUAACUUUAAGUUACUAUAUAAUACUAGUAGUAGAAGAAUUUUUUUUUUUGUCAUUUAAGUUUUAGUUAUUGUGACAUUUAGAUCUCAGUUUGAUUCUUAUUUUGGAUAAAUUUAUUUUUUAUUUGAAACUUUGUUUCCUCUUUUUUAUGUGAGGCUUGAGAUUUGUUUGAUUUUAUUUGAAGCGUUUUUGGCAAUUUAUUUCUUACUCUAGCUGUGAUCUUGAUUUUAUGUGAUGUUUGUUUGGAGUAAUAAAAUUUGAUUGAUAUUUGAUAUUGUAAUAGUAAAUGAAAUUAUUGUAUCUCAAAAUUAAAGUGAGUGCUUUCUAAAAAAUAAAAUAAGGCAGUGGCCUCACAGAAAAAAUCUUAAGAACUAUAGCUGCAGUCAUUUAAAAGAUUCUCCAACUAUGUUUAAUUAUCAUUAUUCCAGUCCCAAAUACAUCAAAAAAAACUAGAUAAACAAAAGGGCAAAACUAUAUGUGGAACAUAACUCAACAAAAUAUCACAGAUAAAAUUCAUCAAAUAGAAUCCAAAGAAAGCAUCACAAAAGUACAUUACAAUUUUAAAAUCAACCAAAUAUAUAUACUAGAACUAGUUCAAAAAUACCCACGCACAGUAGAGAUGAAAAUUUGAAAUUUAACCAAAUAAUUUAGUAUUUACCCUUUCUAGAUUGAGAUGAAAAUUGAAAGCCCUUCUAGCAAAAAAUGCACAGUAGAGUGAUAUACUAACGUACCUCAAUCGAUGCGAGCACAGUAGAGUGAUAUAUUCCCCCCGCCUUCUUCUCCCUCUUCUCCUUCGUUCCCCUCCUUCUUUCUCCUUCAUUUAUGUUCUAUCUGACUGCCUGGUUCGGCUGAGAUUAAAUAGAAUCAACGACUGCUUUCUGUGACCGCAUGCAGUCGCUGAAUUUUAAACACAUGGCCUUAUUAGCGACCGCAUGCGGUCGCUAUUAGGAACCAGUCGCUAUUCGGCUUGCUGGGCUAAUUUUGCUCCAAUUUUUAGGAGGAAAAAAAUGUUUAGCGACCGAGUAUAUGCCUAUUAGCGACCACAUGUGGUCGCUAAUACUAAUAGCGACUAAAUUACAUUGUUGUCGCUAAUGUCGGUCGCUGUUAAUGUUAUUAGCGACGGAAAUGUGCGGUCGCAGAUACAUUCGGUCGCUGUUAGAGAUUUUUCUUGUAGUGUUCAUUGCAUAAUCUAAGGGGGUGAGAUUGAAUAAGUCUUGGGCCUGACAAAUAGUAGGACCUGCGGCUAGUGCAACUCCCAGUAGCGACCAGACUAAUGACUAUUAUGCCCUCAUUUUGACUUUUCAAACUGACCGCUAGUUCAACUUGCGGCCAGAAUACAGGGAAAUAAAAAAGAGACGGGGAUGGCCAUAGGUAAAAAUAAAACGCUUAGUAGUUAUGAACUUGUCUUACAAAUUGACAUACUAGUUAAUCAUAAUUAUAAGAAAAGUGAAGUGAUCAUAAUUACAAGAAUAGUGAAGUGAUAAAUUUGUUACUUAAUUCUGGUCGUAAAAUUUAUGAUUCCACUUAUAAUUCCUAUCUCGUGGGAUCUUGUAGUGAACCAUCCACCAUUAUUGUAUCGUCAAAAGAAAUCUCAUCCAAGGAAAUUUCUCCACUAUGAUAGAGGAUUGAUAUACAAAUAUAUGAUGAGACAAAUUUUGGAAGAAUCAAUCAAAAUAUUGUGGAAGGAACAGAGGAGUAAUAUAUUUAGUAUAUUGCGUUGUAUUCUGGCCACAGGUCCUACAUGCGGCCAUACCCAUCUCUUUUUUAUUUUCCUGUAUUCUGACAACAGGUCCUACUAAUGGCCAAUUUGAAAAGCCAAAAUGAGGGCAUAAUAGUCAUUAGUAUGGCCGAUAGUGGCACUGACAACAAGUCGUAUUAGCGGCUAGACCCAAACCUUAUUCAAUCUCAUCCCUUACAUUAUAUAAUAGAUGGUCACAGAUUAACUACAUGAAUAGGGCUUGUAGCUAAAAUGCAUAGAUUACCUAAAAUGCACAGUCAGUGCACAAUUAGUACACAUUGAAGUAAUCUUUCGAGAAUAUAAUGUAGAGAUAUAAUAUAAAUAUAUUUAAUAAUAAAAUAAAGUGACAUACCCUCUAGAUAACAUAAUAACACUCACCCCCCUCUAGUUUUUUAAGUAACAAUUAGUACCCCCGCAAGUUUUUAGGGUUGACUAAAUAGUUAAAAUUAUAUAUUUACCCUUAUAUUUUAUCAAAUUUUAAUUCCUAAAUAAUAUAUAUGGGAUAUAUGUAUAUACACAGCUGUGUAGUACACAGUCGGGCUAUGGCGACGGGUUUUUUGGGCUAUGGCGACGGUUCACCCGUUGCCGUAGCCCAGAAUAGCUAUGGCAACAGUUUCAACCGUCGCCAUAGGCCAAAAAACCGUCGUCAUAGUCGACUGUGUACUACACAGUUGUGUACAUAUAUUUUUCCCUAUAUAUAUAUGUUUAAUUAUCAUAUUUUAAUACAAUACAUUUUAAUUAUAGUUUUAUUUAUAAUUAAGACUAUCUCAUUCAAAUAAUUUAAUUUAAUUAACACAUUUUUGGAUAAGUGAUAUAAAUAUUAAGAAUUUUAAAUCAAAUUAUUAAUGGAGGUUUUCUAAUAAAGUGAUUGAAUGUUGAUAGUUUAGUUUUUGGCGUUUAACAAUAAAAAUUAUUAUUUAAAUACUUAGUUUCAUAUUAUGAUUUAUAUAUGUUAAAUUUUCUUAAGUAUAUGUCAAAAUUUGGGAUGUUUAUGAUUUUAAUUAUAUUUUUUAGUAUCAAGUUGGUGUUGUUUGUUAUAAAAACAAAAUGGACACUAUAUAUAAAAACUUAUCUCAAAAAUUGUAGAAAUAAAUUUGUCAAGGCUAAUACUUUGUACUAUAUCCUUAAAACAAUUAUGCCCUCCUUACGGUGCUCAAAGUUGAUAGCACUUGUCUCCCAUGAUACAAUGACAACAUAUGCUAUAGUAGCACUCCAAAUAGCAUAAACAACGAACCAAAGAAAUUCGCAAGACUCUCUCAAUAUAAACUAUAAAUUGCUAACGAAAUAAUGAAUACUUGAAGACUUACAAUGCUUAAUGCUUGGAUGAAUUGAAUAAUUCAAAUGGCGACCCCCUAUCUAUCUAUAAUAGGGGUUAGUGACUAAUCAGAAGGGACACAACCCCUUAAAAAGGCAUUGUUUAGCCAAAAUGACGUAGUUUUAAGCCUUAACAGAAAGGGUGCAUCCGUCCAGGUCACAAAAAGACGUAGUUUUAGGCUCAACAAAACAAAAAUGACGUAGUUUAGGCUUUAACAAAAAAGGGUACAAUCGUUCAGACAAAAAUGACGUAGUUUUGGGGCGUUCAUUCAGGUGGAUAGCGCUUCCCAAAACAAUGCAGAAUUGAUGCAUCCGUUCGAAACGACACAGUAUUGAUAAUAAAUAACAUUUACCAAAACGACACAAUUUUGAUAAUAUAACUAAAAUAAAAUAAUUUUUAAAUAAAAAAUUAAAUAAAUUUUAUCCAAAAAAUUAUAUAUAAGGACCCAAACCUAUACCUACGAACUAGGAGCCAGGCUAUGCCGACCAGUCAGACAGCGACACAUACGUGUGGGUUUGAACGAAAACUUUGCUAGGUCCAUUCCCUUCCACAAAAGUGGGGUUCCCGUUGGGGCCGAAACCCAAGAGCAACUUUCUUGGAUAUAAACACAUUAAAAUUUUAGUUCUUAACCGAUGUGGUACUUAGCUUCCCACAAUUAUUUAUUAUCAUUUCUAAGGGUGAUCUUUAGGAGUUAAUAUCUCAUUCAUUACUCCAUAGAUUUGAGCUUCGAAAUACUUAAUUUAAUGUACUCAUGGAGUAGAACGCAUUAAUAUGUGGAUUCACUUUAAAUAAUUAUUAAAAUCCACUUUAAUUUUGACUUAAAUUCUAACAGUCCCCCACAUGAAUGAUAUUGACUGCCAACCUUAUGCAGACUCUGAGAGAAUGAUAGAAUUAGAAAUCAUCUGUAUCGAGAGAGGUGGCUUUUGGCUUUGAACAUUCCCUUGUGAAAGACUAUCGGGUUUACUGGUUGUCUAGUGAACGUGAUGUCUUAAAAUGUCCAACCAUUUAUGUAAAUCGAGACAAUUGUAAUUCAAACAGAAUCUUUCCAGAAAUUAUUUAGUUCUCAUGAUUUUGUUCAUUUCGGCCCUGAACAAUUACAGAUUUAUGAGUGCUUUAGAGAAGUAUAGCCUUAUCCUUCUAAUAGAAUUGACCUAGUUCACACUCACAUAGGUGAUUCUUAAUAAGAGUAUCAUGACAUACCCCACUUGUUUAUCAAGAUUUGACAAUUAUUAAAAGCAUACCGUAUCUUGAAACCGUUGUAGGUAUCACUAUCUCGUAUCAUAGGAAUGAGUAGAAGAAAUUAAUUUCUUCAUAGUGAUUUUGUUGAAUCGUUCAUAAUUUAGUUGUCCCUUUGAACUAAGAUCUUAGGAUCUCCAGUCAACUAGGUUGGGUUUCCAUCACGAUGAUCCUUAUUUAGAGGCUUUAAACCCAUUCCCCUUGAUGUUAUUUUUACUUGCUCGAUCUCUAGUCAAACCUUUAGUUAACGGAUCCGCUAUAUUUUCUUUAGACUUUAUGUACUCAAUAGACAUAAUGUCAUUAGAGAGCAAUUUUUUAUGGUAUUGUGUCUACGACGAAUAUGUCUAGACUUACCAUUAUACAUUUGACUUUGUGCUCUUCCAAUUGUUGAUUGACUAUUACAAUGGAUACAAAUUGUAGCGCCCCCAAAUAAUACAUCAAUUUCUUACAUAUUCUAUAAUUAACGUGAAAUAUACAAACAUACAUUGAUUAUAACUCAAUGAUUCUAUAACAUUUCCCAAUGUCUACAACCUUAAUUCAAUACAUAACUUAAUAAUUCAAAAGGUUUACAUAAUCAUUUUACAUAAAUAUAAUAGUUAAACGUUCAUAUGGAACUGUUCUCCAACUUUGUCUUUGACUUUAUCCUUCUUCGAACCCUCAGGCUUAACUGAAAUAUUAUCAUUAUAUAGCAAGGGUGAGCAACUACUUUGCUCAGCAAGUUUAAAUACAAUAAAGGUAUAUCAUGAUUGAAAAAGAAUAGGCUUACGAAUUUUCAACAAUAUAUAAUAAUUGUGAAAGAACGAUAAUCAAUUUCAAUGAAUGAAUAACUGAAUCAUUAACGCUGAGUGACCAACAAUGACCAUGAACAAAUACUUUGGUACUCAAGGUGAUCAACCUUUCAUACCUGAUAAACAUAUCAAACUUGCACUAAGUGUGAAUAACAAUAAUCAUAGAUGUGGAAUAAUUGUCAAUAAUUAAUCCACUAGCAUGCUUGAAACAUAAUAACUCGAGUUUGAGUUAGAAAAUUUUCCUUGUUUGACGACUACUGCUACACAAGUUAAUAUAAGCUCUUAUGGAAAUACCUAUCAUUUAUUAGAUUGAUCUUUCAAUCAACAUAUCAUAUCAUACCUCAAAAUACUAUUUCUAUAAAAAUAAAUUAUCUAACAUUUAGUCACAAAAGCAAACAUCAGAUAAUUUCUUAGAAAUAUUAUUGUCUUUUGAUAACAUUUCUAUCAUUUAAUCAUCAUCUUAAAACUUUCGUCUAAUAUUAUUAAUCACUUAAUAAUAUCUUAAUUGUUUACAAAUAUUAUUAACCCUUUAAUAGUAUUUUAAUCACUUACUAACAUCUUAAUCAUUUCCAAAUAUUAUUAAUCAUUUAGUAAUAUUUAAACACUUACUAACAUCUUAAUCAUUUCCAAAUAAUAAUAAUCUUUUAAUAAUAGUUUAAUCACUUACUAAUAUUAUUAAUCAUUUAAUAAUAUUUAACUUGUUAUCUAAUAUUAUUAAUCACUUAAUAAUAUUUACAUCAUUUCUUAAUAUUAUUAAUCACUUAAUAAUAUUUAUUCACUUCUUAAUAUUAUUAACCAUUUAAUAAUAUUAUUAAUCAUUUAACAAUAUCUUAUUCACCUUAUAAUAUUAUUAAUCAUUCAAUAAUGUUCAAAUCAUUUAAUAAUAUUUUAAUCAUUCAAAAAUAUUAUUAGUGUAGAACAUACCAACUAGUCACUUAAUGACUCUCAAAUUGGUUUACAUAUAUUAAUUCUUAUUUCAUCUUGUUCGCGCAUUAUACUUUUAAUUAACGCGACCAUCAUCAAAACAUCUCUAGGCGUCACGACAUUCGUAAACGUCACGACCCUCAUAACCAUCUAUCCUUAUUAGUUAAUAUUAACCUCAUCACAUAUCUUAUAAUAUUCAUUUCAUUAGAAUCAGAACACUUUUUAAGUUCAUUAACACUUGACACGGCGUUUCGACGUUCAUACGUCACAAGAUCGAUUCGUCUGCUUUACGAAUCUUUAGCAUGCUCAUAUAAUUAUCUAAUUCAUUAUUUAUUAAUGUUAAAUAUCAUUAUAUUUCAUAAUUUUCAUGUUUUACAACUUCAAACAACAUCCAUUAUCGUUGAAAGCAUUACACGUUGCAUACGCGCAUGCCCGACGCCCUCCGAUUACCUCUGAAUGAUCAUCAGUUCCAAAGAUGAUCAUUUUAGGCCUUUAUUCCGACGUCAAAUCUUAAAUCUCAAAGAAUGAAAGUUUUAGGUCUACUUUUUAUCUUUUCGAAUCAUCCUGAAUCGCCUCAAUCAGAGUUCAUAUGAAAACGUUAUGCUCAUUUUAGUAAAACAUGGCCCGAAAAAUUUUUCUCCAACACUUGGCCAGCGCCUAGGUGCCCAAUAACAGAGUUUGAGCAUUGAGCCCAGCGCCUAGGCGCUCGGCCCUUAGCACUUAACUUAAAUUUCUAGAUUUUGUAACUUUUGACGCACAUACUUCAAAUCUUCAUAAGUUGGUCAUCUGUUAUCGGAAUUAGUUCAAUUUAAGGCUAUAGAAAGCUUACAACAUGCUCUACAAAACCCCCAUGAUGAAUUAAUUUUUAAGCAUCAUUAUUAAGCUAUAAAAUUGACCCGAAAGUAUCUCGAGACUGAGUUUUUAUCAUUUUAACAUACUUUAGGAAAAUAUUUUCCAUGACUUCGAUUUAAAUCAUUUUUAGUCCAUAUAAAUUGUAAUAUUUCCAUUACUUCUUGAUCUAAAGAUCCUCCUUCUCAUAUUUCACACAUAAAUCCACCAUCAACACUUUUAAAAAUCUGAUUUACGUCCUCUACAUAAUUUAUGUUCAUGCUCAAACAUAUGCCUAAAUUUUUUAUCUUAAAUUUGAUAAUGAGAUGGAUUAAACAUAAAAUCUAACUCAUAUACUUCCUUAUUACUUCAGAUCCAUCAUGAUACCCUGUAGACCAACCACUAACAAUCAUUAAAAUUGAUGAUUUAAAGAAAAUAACUUUGAAAACUAAAAGUUUAGAUUUGCUUUCUUACCUUUUGAUUCUUGAUCUUCUCCUUAUUCUUCUUUUUUGCUAAAAUCUUGAUCCAAGCUAGGCUAUUCCUUUCUCUUUUUCUUCCUCAUCCGAUCAUCUUUUCUCUUUUUCUAUCUCUUGUUUUCUCUUUCUUUCUCAUUCUCUAUCUUCAUCUUUCUCUCUCAUUCUCUCUCUGUGACACCCCCAAAUCUAGGUACUUCAUUCCCACAAGAUUUGGUGUUCACUAUCCAAUCAUUCAUACUAUCUACCCAAAUAAAUUAACAUUAGAUCAUAAAUCCUCCCUUUAAAUAUGGUUACAUCAUUAAAUCCAUAAACAUCCCAGGUUGUCUAACCUUUAAACAUCAUAUAAGCGCAAAAAUAAAAUUAUUACAUCACAUCAUUAUUUAAAAUUCUAUGAGCAUAACAAUAAAUAAAAUUACAUGUCUUCAUCACUUGUACAUUUUUCCUUUUCCUUUGCUAGUUGAAGGCUCAUCUACCUUCUCAACAUUAGCUGCAAUAAUAAUAUUUAUGCAAGAGUGAACAAAACAAUUGCUCACUAGAUAUAGCAAUGAAUCAACAAGAAUGAAAUAACUGCCAAUGAAUAGGCUCAUCAAAACUAAAUAGUAGUCUAUCAAUGAUAACCAAGGACUGGAAUCAAAAUAUGGAAUACAUAAAACUAAGGGUCAUAAGAUCACGAACUAUUCCACAGUUGUAAGUAAUCUUUCAACUUCAACUUUAACAGUCAUAAGACUAUAAGAACUCCUCGUACUUAGGGGGAUCAGCCCUUCGUACAAUGUAUUGUGCAGAAACAUUUCUACGCUAAGCGAAAAUUAUCCCCUAAUAAUAGGUUUGUUCAUCUCAGUAUUUAGAGUACAAGUCCGCACCAAAGAAAGUUUGGUUUGGAUAAGCUUUCAAGGGUAAUUUGGAGUUUAACGAUUAUCAACUAGAGGACUAGUUGAAUCAAUAGUGUGAAAUAGCACAACAGUUGAUCAAUAAUAACACAAUAUGGAACAAUGAGUAAGUGUAAGCGAAAUAACUAUAUCUUGAACUCAUGCUUAGAAACAACUACAAAGCAUAAGUAUUGAAUGACAAUGAACUUUGCUUGAAUAAUAUUAAGCUAGGACUAUAAAUUAUUUGAAUAUACUUUAAAUAAUAGCAAGCUAAAAAUAAAGCUUGCUCAUUAUGAGAAUAACUUGUGUGAAGUAAAUGAGAUAAGAUAAUUCAACAUUAGAAAUUAGAAUUCAAGAAAAUUGCAUUCAUAAUACACGAAUGUCAAUAAGAAACUUGUCUAAUAAAUAACAAGUUAGAAUACAUUAAUAAAUAUUGGAAUUCAAACUUGAUCGAAUAAAGUUAAAGUCAUAGCUAGCUUGCUUAAAUAAUGAUUAGGAAUACAAGAGUUCGCUUAAUGAAAAUUUAAAGUAAGAAACUUGCUUAAUAUAAAUGUAGAGGUAGAGAACUUGCUCAAUGUAAAAAGAGAAGUUUAGAAACUUGCCUCGAGCGUAAGCUAUAAUAUUAAACUCACGUUCACCUACACAUAGGUUUAGAACCACAAUACCUAUUUGAUAUGCUAACAUACCAUAACAUGUACAUUUCUAGCUAAACUUAUCAUUUUAGCACAAGUCUUAUGCUAUCAUAUAUAUUUCAGAAUUCCCAAGUGUUAACAUCACAACACUUAUCUAACAUUCAUUGUAUCAACUAAGUUAUAACAUAACGCGUUCAUAACUUAUAAUCAUUUGAAACUUUGAAACUACUAACCACCUAACAUGAUUCUGAUUAACCUUUUUGUUACAUGGUUCUCACAUUAACCUAACAUUAAGCUAAGUUACAUUGAACGUCCAAAGUAUGCAGGGUUAGCAGACUUCACUGUCUAUGAUUGGGUACUGGUGCGGUCGCGCCAGUUUAAUACUGGGUUACAGUGCGCCCGCGCCAAGGGGCUGCGCGGCCGUGCUACGCACAGAUUCCAAUUUUGCAGAACAUGGUUACGACACUUUUCAUAAGCCAACUAACACGAAUUUCACCCACCAAACAAUGAUAAUAACACGUACAAAUGGUAUAAAACUAUCACAAACAUGUUUCCUCACAUAUAUAUCAAUAUAGAACAAUUUAACAAUAACUUAAGCUAGUUUAAUUUCUCAAAUUCCAUGUUUUUCAUAUAAAACUCAAUUUUUGAUAUUCAUCCCUAAAAUCAACACUGUGAUUUCAAUACUUGGCCAAAUCACUUCAUUCAAAUUACGUUAUGCUCGUUUCUUAAUGAACUAACAUAUACAAGCUUCAAUUUGCAGUUUAACAUACGAAUUGACCAUCAAAAUUGAUACUUACACAUGCCAUAUGACAAACAUACACUAUAAUUCAUUUUCUUCCUUUUUAAACGAAAUUAGCAUAAUAAUCACUAUCUAAACACAAACUCUAGUCAUCAUAAACACAUACAAUUGCAAUAACUCAGUUUUCUACAACAAUUCGAAAAGUAUAGAAUUCAAAGAGUUUGAAGCUUCAUGCCGUAAAUUCAUCUAUACAUAUACAUAUAGGUAUAAUAUGGAAAUUAUGGAAAAUUACCUUCAAUUUGCUAUGAUAAUCCUUGCUAAUCAACUGAUAAUCACCUUGAAAAAUUCUUAGGUUUCCUAUCAAUGUCUCUCAAGUUCUCUGUAUCUCACUCUGAACUCUCAGACUUAGCAAAUGGCCAAAACCCAACUAAUAUGCGUAGUAAAAAAAACUGAUAUAACCUUAAUACGCCAAACUUAAUAAAAUAUCAGUUACAAAACUAACGUAUAUAUUAUAAAUAUAUUAUAUUUAUUAUUUAAUUUAUUUUAUUUAAAUUCAAAUAUUAAAAAAAAUCCAAAGCCAUAAGGCUUUGUUUGGCAAAACCCUUAAAAUUUUAAAGACUUAAUAUAUUUAAGCCUUGUUUGACAAAAUCACAUUAAACUCCUUUAUUUUAUUUUAAUAAACAAUUUUAGUUUAUAAUUUAUAAUCACAUAUUUAUUUAUUUGGAGCUCCAUAUCCAACAUUAACCAAUUAAAUUAAUCACAUACUAUAUUUUAAUUAAAUAUACCAUUUUAAAUAUCACAUACUAUAUUUUAGCAAAUAUCACAAAAUUAUAAUUUUCAUUAUCACUUUAUUUAAUAAUUUAAUAUACCAUUUUAAAUUAUUAAUUAACAAUAUAACACUUCAUGUCAUAUUACAACUCUCUAAAUUAUAUAUUAAUUUAAUUUAGAAUAUUAUCUAAUAAAUUUAGAUUCAACAACCAUCACCUCAAUAAAAUAUUUAUUUCAUCAAUUUCAACAAUACACAUCAAAUAAAUAUUUAUAUUUAAUAAAUAUUUAAAAUUACAAUUUAAAAUUAUGGAUCGUUACAUCCUUCCCUCCUUACAAGGAUUCUGUCCCCAGAAUCACCAUUCAAACAAUCAAAUCGUCACAUUCUUCCCUACUUACAAAGAUUAUGUCCCCAGAAUCGAAGACAUAGACUAAAAAAAUAACUCAGGAUAAUUCUUCAUCAUAUCAGCUUCGAGUUCCCACGUAGCCUCUUCGACGUUGUGGUUCCUCCAUAUCACCUUCACAGAAGGUAUCACUUUAUUCCUAAGCACAUGUUCUUUCCUGUCGACUAUCUGGAUAGGAAUCUCUUCGUAAGACAAAUCUUUACUGAACUACAAUGGUUCAUACUCGAUCACAUGCUUGUAAUUGGGUUUAUACGGUUGCAACACCGACAAAUGAAAAACAUUGUGCACAUGCUCUAAUUCUAGAGGUAAAGCUACCUCAUAAGCUACUUCUCCCACUUUUCGCAAUAUUUUGAAAGGUCCAAUAAACCUUGGGCUGAGCUUUCCUUUCUUGCCAAAACGAAUUUUCCCCUUCUAUGGAGAAACUUUUAGGAACACGAAAUUUCCUACUUCAAAUUCACGACUUUGCCUGUGUUGAUCAGCAUACUUUUUUUUUCGAUCUUGAGCAGCUACCAGUCUUGCUCUAAUGAGUUUGACAACUUCAGUGGUCUGCUGUACCAGUUCUGGGCCUAACAGUUGACGUUCACCAACUUCAUCCCAGCAUAGUGGAGUUCUGCACUUUCUGCCGUAUAAUGCCUCAUACGGCGGCAUGCCAAUGCUUGCAUAGUAACUGUUGUUGUAUGCAAAUUCCACCAACGGUAAAUGAUCAUCCCAGUUUCCUUUGAAAUCCAUGAUGCACGCUCUAAGCAUAUCUUCUAGCAUCUUAAUUGUUCGUUCACUUUGCCCAUCAGUUUGCAGAUGUUAUGUCGUACUCAUCUUUAAUUGUGUUCCCAUGCAUUCUUGAAGUUUCUUCCAGAAAUUUGAAGUGAACCUUGGAUCUCUGUCUGAUACAAUUGACACUGGAACUCCAUGUCUUGAGACGACCUCUUUAACGUAUAGCUUCGCCAGCUGAUCAAGAUUAAAUCUAAUCUUUAUUGGCAAAAAGUGUGCAGAUUUUGUCAAUCUGUCCACUAUCACCCAUAUCGCAUUGUAUCCUUUCUGAGUCGUUGGAAGACCUACCACAAGAUCUAUUGUGAUGUGCUCCCACUUCCAUUUCGGUAUUUCCAACGGUUGAAGUAACCUGCUUGGUCGUUGAUGUUCAUCUUUCACCUUCAGACACGUCAAGCACUUUGAAACGCAUUCUGCAACGUCUCUUUUCAUGUUUGGCCACCAAAAAUAUCGCCACAAAUCCUGAUACAUCUUUGUAUUUCCCGGGUGAAUUGAAUAUCUGGAACUAUCAGCUUCUGUCAACAUUUCUUCUUUAAUAUCCUGUACUGCUGGAACCCAAAUUCGUCCCUCGAAUCUUAGCAUCCCCUCAGUAUCAACCAUGUACUUCACUUCUUUACCUUCGACCACGCUUUCCUUUAUUUUUCUGCAUUCUUCAUCUUGUAGUUGUGCGUUCUUCACCUUGUCCACCAAAGUUGGACUAGCUUCUAUCUGAUACAAUUUUUCAUUGGAUUCUUUUUGGAAAUUUGUUUUCCAACUCUAAACUUGCCAUUGCUGAAAUGAGCUCCUUCUUAUCGGUUAACAACAUCAACUUUUCUCUGCCUUUCCUACUCAAGGCAUCCGCAACCACAUUAGCUUUGCCUGGAUGAUAAAAGAUCUCACAAUCAUAAUCUUUUAUUAAUUCCAUCCAUCUUCUUUGAUGCAUGUUCAGGUCCUUCUGUGUGAAAAUAUACUUCAGACUUUUAUGGUCUGUGUAGAUCUCAUAUUUUUCUCCAUAGAGAUAGUGUCUCCAUAUCUUCAGAGCAAACACUAUUGCCGCCAACUCUAAAUCAUGAGUUGGAUACCCUUUCUCAUAGUCUUUCAGUUGCCUUGAUGCAUACGCAAUAACCUCGCUGUUUUGCAUAAGGACACAACCUAAUCCUUUGUGUGACGAAUCAUUAUACACCACGAAAUUUCCUGUAUUAUCUGGUAAUGACAAAACAGGUGCCAUACUGAGUCUCUUCUUUAACUCCGUAAAACUUUCCUCACACUUUUUCGUCCAAAUAAAUUUUACAACUUUCCUUGUCAAAUUUGUCAACGGAGUGGCAAUAUUGGAAAAAUCCUGGAUAAACCGUCUAUAAUAGCCUGCCAAUCCCAAGAAACUUCUCACUUCUGAUGGAGUUCUUGGUUGUCCCCAAUUUAUCACAGCUUUGACUUUUGAUGGAUCCACUAAAAUUCCAUCCUUAUCGAUUACAUGCCCAAGGAAUUGUACACGUUCCAGCCAAAAUUCACAUUUAGAGAAUUUCGCGUAUAACUUUUCCUUUCUUAGCGUCUCCAGUGUCAGACGUAAGUGUUUCGCGUGUUCCUCUUGAGAUUUAGAGUACACCAGAAUAUCAUCAAUGAACACCACCACAAACUUGUCUUAAAAUGGUUUAAACACCCUGUUCAUUUUCAAAUCCAUGAACGCUGCAGGGGCAUUUCUUAAACCAAAAGACAUAACUAAAAAUUCAUAAUGUCCAUACCGAGUUCGGAAUGCCGUCUUUGGUAUAUCCUCCUUUCUUACUUUCAGUUGGUGAUACCCAUUUCUCAAAUCUCUUUUCGAGAAGUACCUAACACCUUUCAAUUGAUAAAACAAGUCAUCUAUUCUUGGCAAUGGAUACUUGUUCAUAAUAGUGACCUUAUUUAAUUCCCUAUAAUCAAUGCAAAGACGCAUUGACCCAUCCUUCUUUUUCACGAAUAACACCGGUGCUCCCCACAGUGAUAUGCUCAGUUUAGUGUACUUCUUAUCUAGCAGUUCUUGCAGUUGUACCAUCAAUUCCUUCAUCUCUACCAGAGCCAUUCUGUAUGGGGCCUUCGAUAUCGGAGCGGUUCCUGGCGCUAAGUCGAUCACGAACUCAAUUUCUCUAUCAGGCGGAAGUCCUGGCAAAUCUUUCAGAAACACAUCCACGAAUUCCCUAACCACUGGUAUCUCUUCCAGUUUUACACCCUUCUCCUUUUGAGUAUCGACGAUGUAGGCUAAAUAUCCUACAUAGCCCUGACUCAAUAAUUUAUUGGCCUGCAUAAUCGUCUAACAUCUUAUUUGUCUAGGCAAUUUGCUACCAUGAAAAACUACCUUUGACGGAGUCAUAAGGUUUACACACUUCUUUUGGCAAUCAAUUAUCGCUCCAUAAUUGAAUAGCCAAUCCAUUCCCAAUAUCACGUCAAACUCUCCAAGUUUUAUCGGGAUUAAAUCUACUUUCAUAAUAUUCCCCUUUAAAUUCACUCUACAAUCCUUGUAUACAAACCUAACAGGAAUUACCUCCAUAUUCACAAUUUCUAUGUUUAAAGGGAAAUUCAACUCUUUACUAAGUAUUUCUAACUUCUUAGCAAAUUCAUCAGAUAUAAACGAGCAAGUAGCACCCGAAUCAAAUAAUAUAUAUGCAUUUAUAUCAUUGAUUGGGAUAAUACCUGACACGACAUCUUUUGAUUGCACCGCGUCCUGCAUAGUCAUGUUGAAGGUUCUGGCUAUGGGCUUAUUUGCUAACGUUGGCCCAGCAAUAGUCAGUGUACCUCCACUAGCAUUUCCUUUGCUUCCAUUUGCCUCACCAGAUCUCUUCUUAGGGCAUUCACGAGCAAAGUGAUCUUUGGUCCCGCACGUGAAGCAAACGUUCUUCUUAGAUUGAGUGCAAUUUGGGGCGAUGUGACCCUCCUGACCACAGUUAAAACAUACUCGUUUCCCCAUCAAGCACACAUCCUUGUGAAACUUCCCGCAUGUAGCACAUGCUUCGAACUUCUUCUUUUGUUGGUUUCCUUGCUGAUUUCCAGCUCCCACAUUUGCAUUCCACUUCCUCGUCAAAUUGUUGUUUCCAUUUCCACCAUUACCACCACCACCAUUUUUAGCUUCACCUUCAUUUUUCUUCUUCCUCUGCUCUUGGUUGUGUUUUGUUACAGCCUCGCCUCCACUCUCAGUAAGAAUUGACUUUUCCAUCACCGCUGCAAACGUCUUCAACUGGAAUAGGGAGACUCUACUGUACAACCAGAGUUUCAGUCCCUAUUCAAAUCUCUCCGCCUUGCGUUCAUCUAUGCUAACUUGAUAUGGCGCAAACCUUGCCAACUCGUUGAAUCUUGCGGCAUACUCAGACACCGACAUCGUUCCCUACUUCAGUUCCAAAAACUGGACUUCUAACUGACUCUUCGAACUUUCUAGAAAAUAGGUCUCAAAGAAUAUUUCCUUGAACCUUUCCCAAGACAUCACCCCUUGACCUCCUCGGGUUUUAUUGGCUUCCCAACAAUAACUCGCCUCUGCCUUCAAUAUGAAUGUUGUAAAAGCAGUCUUCUAGUUAUCCUCUACCCUAGCAACAUCGAAAACCUUCUCUAUUUCCAUGAUCCAGGUCUGUGCUUCAACCGGAUUCAUGGACCCAUGGAAUUCUGGUGGUCCAACCGUUUUGAAAUCCUUAAACGUUGUACCUUAGUUCUGAGGUUGAUUCUGCAAAGCACCCAUCAGUUUCGUCAUUAGUUACUGAGCUGGGUUACCUUCCACAUUGUUAUUGUUGGUUUCCUCGGUGGUUCUCUGUCGUGGUUGACGUCUUGGAGGCAUUUUCUGUUAAAAUACACCCAUUAGAUUCUAUUCAACCUUUUAUGUAUUAUAUACUUAAGUUGCACAUCAUAAAAGAUUAUCACAUAACACAUAACACUUUGAAUAAAAUGUUAAUUUUUAUUCAUUCAUAAUCUUUUAAAAAAACAUCAAAUCAAUAGCAUCACUGCUAUUUACAUUACUUUCCUGAACUAUAAUAGUUUCAGGACAACAUCAUCAUCUAUCCCAUUGGUUAUAUAAUACCUGGGAUUUACAAUAUAUUUACUCCCUAACCACAUAUCAGGUACAUUCCCUAUAAUGUCCUACUAAGAUACUGCGUAGCCUUACGAUGCUCUUCCUCCAUAAUUCGAGUCAUUGUUCGGCGAUCUAAAAUGUAUGAUGGCAACGUCUCGAACUGAAUAGGAUAACACAUGAAUCGAUCUUGAGCUCGAUUGAUCACGGUGUUGAAUACAUUAUUCGUCUCCUCCAUCUUCAUCCUCUUUGCUUGUGCGUCCCUCUCUGCCAUCCUAGCUCGCUGAUAAGUUUCAUUAUACGCGCCUUCGGCUCUUGCCCUCUUAGUAGAUUGCUCCUUCAGCUUAUUCUCCAGUUGUGCAAUCUUUUCCAUCAGUUGUUCGUUUCCCCUUCAGUGCGGCCCAGCUUCUCUUCAACAUUAUUCAAUCGUUCUUCUUGAUCCUGGAUCUCAUCGUCCUUCUGUGCCAUCGAGGUCUGUUGUUCAGCUACUAUCUCUUGUAACUCCUCGACGGUAUCCUGAAGUUCCACAUUGUGGUCGUGUACUUCAUCGUACAUAUGGGCAUCAAUCGAGUUAAGUGUAAUCUCUUCUUCCUCGUCUUCCUCCUCAUUCGACUGUUGUAGGUCAAUAGGGUCUUCCUCGUCCGUCUCUAUCUCAUCAUCCUCAUUAGGUAUUCUCUCCUGCUCAACUACUGUGACCAACGGAGUUGCUUUACGUGGAAGUAGUUGUUCCCACACCACCUGAAUAUCUUGAGGCUCCUCCUCUCUAGGCAUCUGGGAUCCUUCCUCCCUAACCUGAUUGGAUCCUCCUACAUUAGCCAUCCUGUCAACCAAAUUUUAAGUUUUAAUUACUAAUCAUCACUACUCAACACUCAUGAGCACAUAAGUUGUAAUCACAUAAGCACAUAAGUGUUUUAUUACUUCUUCCUUAGAACUCGAUAAGAGUUUAUCAUCACUAUCUUUUCAAAGGUUACUUUCUAAGGCUUUUCCCCACCUAAGGUUCAUAACCUAAAGCUUUGAUACCAACCUGUAACAUACCCAAAUCUAGGUACUUCAUUCCCACAAGAUUUGGUGUUCACUAUCCAAUCAUUGAUACUAUCUACCCUAAUAAAUUAACAUUAAAUCAUAAAUCCUCCCUUCAAUAGGGUUAUAUCAUUAAAUCCAUAAACAUCCCAGGUUGUCUAACCUUUAAACAUCAUAUAAGCGCAUAAAUAAAAUUAUUACAUCACAUCAUUAUUUAAAAGUCCAUGAGCAUAACAAUAAAUAAAAUUACAAGUCUUCAUCACUUGUACAUUUUUCCCUUUCCUUUGCUAGUUGAAGGCUCAUCUACCUUCUCAACUUUAGCUGCAAUAAUAAUAUUUAUACAAGAGUGAGCAAAACAAUUGCUCACUAGAUAUAGCAAUGAAUUAACAAGAAUGAAAUAACUGCCAAUUAAUAGGCUCAUCAAAACUAAAUAGUACUCUAUCAAUGAUAACCAAGGACUGGAAUCAAAAUAUGGAAUACAUAAAACUAAGGUUCAUAAGACCACGAACUAUGUCCACAGUUGCAAGAAAUCUUUUAACUUCAACUUUAACAGUCAUAAGACUAUAAGGACUCCUCGUACUUAGGGGGAUCAGCCCUUCGUACAAUGUAUUGUGCACAAAUAUUUCAACGCUAAGCACAAACUAUCCCCUAAUAAUUGGGUUGUUCAUCUCAGUAUUUAGAGUACAAGUCCGCACCAAAGAAAGUUUGGUUUGGAUAAGCUUUCAAGGGUAAUUUGGAGUUUAACGAUUAUCAACUAGAGGACUAGUUGAAUCAAUAGUGUGAAAUAACACAACAGUUGAUCAAUAAUAACACAAUAUGGAACAAUGAGUAAGUGUAAGCGAACUAACUAUAUCUUGAACUCAUGCUUAGAAACAACUACAAAGCAUAAGUAUUGAAUGACCAUAAACCUUGCUUGAAUAAUAUUAAGCUAGGACUAUAAAUUAUUUGAAUAUACUUUAAAUAAUAGCAAGCUGAAAAUAAAGCUUGCUCAUUAUGAGAAUAGCUUGUGUGAAGUAAAUGAGAUAAGAUAAUUCAACAUUAGAAAUUAGAAUUCAAGAAAAUUGCAUUCAUAAUACACGAAUGUUAAUAAGAAACUUGUCUAACAAUAAACAAGUUAGAAAACAUCAAUAAAUAUUGGAAUUCAAACUUGAUCGAAUAAAGUUAAAGUCAUAGCUAGCUUGCUUAAAUAAUGAUUAGGAAUACAAGAGUUCGCUUAAUGAAAAUUUAAAGUAAGAAACUUGCUUAAUGUAAAUGUAGAGUUAGAGAACUUGCUCAAUGUAAAAAGAGAAGUUUAGAAAACUUGCGUCGAGCGUAAGCUAUAAUAUUAAACUCACGUUCACAUACACAUAGUUUUAGAACCACAAUACCUAUUAGAUAUGAUAACAUACCAUAACAUGUACAUUUCUAGCUAAACUUAUCAUUUUAGCACAAGUCUUAUGCUACCAUAUAUAUUUCAGAAUUCCCAAGUGUUAACAUCACAACACUUAUCUAACAUUCAUUGUAUAAACUAAGUUAUAACAUAACACGUUCAUAACUUAUAAUCAUUUGAAACUUUGAAACUACUAACCACCUAACACGAUUCUAAUUAACCUUGUUGUUACAUGGUUCUCACAUUAACCUAACAUUAAGCUAAGUUACAUUGAACGUCCAAGUCUGCAGAGUUAGCAGACUUCAGUGUCUCUGAUUGGAUACUGGCGCGGCCGCACUAGUUUUAUACUGUGUUAUGGUGCGCCCGCACGGCAGUUGCGCUCCUGCGCCAAGGGGCUGCGCGGCCGCGCUACACACAAAUUCCAGUUUUGCAGAACAUGGUUAUGGCACUUUUCAUAAGCCAACUAACAUAAAUUUCACCCACCAAAUAGUGAUAAUAACAUGUACAAAUGGUAUAGAACUAUCCCAAACAUGUUUCCUCACAUAUAUAUCAAUAUAGAACAAUUUAACAACAACUGAAGCUAGUUUAAUUUCUCAAAUUCCAUGUUUUUCAUAUAAAACUCAAUUUUUGAUAUUCAUCCCAAAAACCAACACUGUGAUUUCAAUACUUGGCUAAAUCACUUCAUUCAAAUUACAUUAUGCUCGUUUCUUAAUGAACUAACAUAUACAAGCUUCAAUUUGCAGUUUAACAUACAAAUUGACCAUCAAAAUUGAUACUUACACAAGUCAUAUGACAAACAUACACUAUAAUUCAUUUUCUUCUUUUUUAAACGAAAUUAGCAUAAUAAUCACUAUCUAAACACAAACUCUAGUCAUCAUAAACACAUACAAUUGCAAUAACUCAAUUUUCUACAACAAUUCGAAAAGUAUAGAAUUCAUAGAGUUUGAAGCUUCAUGCCAUAAAUUCAUCUAUACAUAUACAUAUAGGUAUAAUAUGGAAAUUAUGGAAAAUUACCUUUAAUUUGCUAAGAUAAUCCUUGCUAAUCAACUGAUAAUCACCUUGAAAAAUUCUUAGGUUUCCUAUCAAUGUCUCUCAAGUUCUCUAUAUCUCACUCUGAACUCUCAGACUUAGGAAAUGGCCAAAACCCAACUAAUAUGCGUAGUAAAAAAAACUGAUAUAACCUUAAUACGCCAAACUUAAUAAAAUAUCAGUUACAAAACUAACGUAUAUAUUAUAAAUAUAUUAUAUUUAUUAUUUAAUUUAUUUUAUUUAAAUUCAAAUAUUAAAAAAAAUCCAAAGGCCAUAAGGCUUUGUUUGGCAAAACCCUUUAAAUUUUAAAGACUUAAUAUAUUUAAGCCUUGUUUGACAAAACCACAUCAAACUCCUUUAUUUUAUUUUAAUAAACAAUUUUAGUUUAUAAUUUAUAAUCACAUAUUUAUUUAUUUGGAGCUCCAUAUCCAACAUUAACCAAUUAAAUUAAUCACAUACUAUAUUUUAAUUAAAUAUACCAUUUUAGCAAAUAUCACAAAAUUAUAAUUUUCAUUAUCACUUUAUUUAAUAAUUUAAUAUACCAUUUUAAAUUAUUAAUUAAUAAUAUAACACUUCAUGUCAUAUUACAACUCUCUAAAUUAUAUAUUAAUUUAAUUUAGAAUAUUAUCUAAUAAAUUUAGAUUCAACAACCAUCACCUCAAUAAAAUAUUUAUUUCAUCAAUUUCAACAAUACACAUCAAAUAAAUAUUUAUAUUUAAUAAAUAUUUAAAAUUACAAUUUGAAAUUCCGGAUCGUUACACUCUUAUCUAACUUGUAAAUCUAGACAAAUAAGAAGGCUUGAAUAAGGAGGAGACACAAAAGCUUGGUUGGUGACUUAACUUUGAGAAGAAAAAAAAAUAUGUGCUCCUUAUCUCCUUCUUCGUGUACCUGGUGCACUCCCCCUCUUCUUGCCCAAAUUUUGGUUUUAAUUUUAUUGUCAAAUUUGCUUAAUCAAAUGACCUAAAAGUCACUCACUAGUUGGACCAAAACUUGGCCAUUUAAAUUUUUGUUUGGGCUUCCUAAUUUAAUUGUUUAGGCCAUGUAAUAUAAUAUAGGUCCAACUCACUAAUUUUAUCUUACCGUAAUUAUUUAACUAGGGUUCCUAAUCCACUCAUUUUGGGAUUUUAAAUAAUUACUUUCAUAAAUUUAAUCAUAUAACUUAAUUAGGUUUUCUUUAAUUAGGUUAAAAUAAAAAUAAAUCUCUUAAGUUAAUUUACUAGUAUAUAAUUUAAAUACUAGUAUUCUUCAAUUACUAUAACCCUUAGUUUAUUUAAUUCUCAUUCCUAAUAUAUAAUAUUAGUUUAUAUAGUCUUCUUUUAUUUCUCUUUAUAAAUAAAUAUAUAUACAUAUUUAUAAUAUAUAUUUACUCAAUCACAUACACGCACUACAUGAGUCACAAUAUACUUACUCCCUUGAUAUAUUCUUGUAUUAGGAUAAACAUUUAAUUUAAUGUCUAAUUAAAAUUCUUAAUAUGGUUUGCAACAUUCAUUAAACUUUUUCAAUGGCUUAACAUAAUGGACUAUAUUAAUUCAAAAUUUUAAUUUAAAUACCAUAUUAAUAACUUGGGUCAUUUUUACAAGCCUUUUUAAUAUCAAUGCUUGCUUCAUAUGGUUUGCUAUAUAUGUGAAUUCGGUUUGCCAUAUUUUUAAUCCAUUUUUAGACUUUUAUUAAAUUUCUAAUACUUGACUACUAGAUAGGCUUAGCUUAAUUACCACCAUAGUACCUAGCUUAUCUCUUCCCAAUUUAAUAUUUUUAGGUUCUAUUAAAUUAUACCCUUCAAAGUAUAAUUUUCACAAGCUUUUAUAAUUAAGCUUUUCAUUUAUUCUUGUAUGAUUAAUUUCUAAUUAAUCAUUUUCUUAUUUGGCUAGAAAUAUAAAUAGCACAUUCUUAAGUACAUAUAUGUAUCUAUACAUAUACACUGUGACGCCCCCAAAAUAGGUAUACAUCACCUAUUCUGAGUCGCCAAAUACAUGGUACAGAAUACAAAUAUAAUCUUAAAUAUACAACAUGAGCUGUGAGUUUUAAUACAAAUAUUGUCUUCUAGACAGUAUUCAAACUCAAAAUAAGUCCUCAAUACAUUUAUUAUCACACUAUUUCAUAGAAUAGUGAGGACUACUAAUGCUAUCAUCUGGACCGUCACUCCGUUC